GAGGAGGCUCAAGGUCAAGGGGCAACCUCUUCCUUGUCCCUAGGACGCCUGUAUUUGAGUCACCCGGCCUUGAGUUGCAUCGAUGAUGAUGUUGUUUACCUCUUGGGCAACGCUGCCGGCAGGGGUGCUAAGACGGGAGGAAUGAUGGUCGCUGUUGACGUCAGGAACAAGGAGCUGCGAGGAGUGGCCAAGCUUGACCCCGAAAAGAACACCCUCUACUCCAUGCGAUGCUACCUUGCAACUGGGAUCUCCAAACGCCUCAACACUACCACAGGUACUUAAUUACCGCUCGUAUUCCAGAACAAAUGCAGCACCAUGUGCAUAUGGGUAAUAAAAUGCCAUUUAAGGAUCUAGGGCUGAUCAUUAUAGUUCUUUGUUUAUGAUGGUCCGAAUGACCAAACUAGGACUAGAAUGUAGUAACUUUAUUUAGGGUGAUAGGCUUGAUAUGUUGAUACAAGGGCAGAACAGUACCAAGAGUCCUUUUGGCAGAGUAGUACCAAUACUCAUUAUGCAAUAUACUGUUUUGUGUGAGUUUCAGACAAACGUUGUGUUUCUGACUGUACUUGCAAAAACAAAACCUGAACUUUGUUAACAGAAUAAAGACACCUCCACUAAAAUGUCGACGACUAAUGCAUAAAAUUACUUGCAUUCUUCGUGAAAAUUCAUAGCAGUAAAUGUGUCGUCACUCUUGUUUCCUUGUCAUUAUGCGUGUAAUAUAUUUUGCUAGCAUGCAUUUAAAUAUGAAGUAAUUAAUCAAAGUGCAUUCGUACCAUGUCAAAAGAACAAGAGAAUAGAGCAAGUAAUAAUAAGGUAGUACUUGACCAAAGCAUACUUGAAAAAGUAGUAUAUUGCUUUAGGUUUUGCUUUUCCUGUUGUACUCAAUGUGGACAACAUGAAUGCUCUUCCUCUUGAGUACUAAUUCUUGCUUCAAGGACAUUUUAUGAGAUAAUAGCUAUUUUAUUUGAUGUAGACACAAGAGUUGGACGACCUGAGGAGGAUGCAGAAGCCGCCGAGUAGAAUGUGCGAACCCAGUGACAUAUAUGCAUCAUACUGCAGCCUGCCUGGAUGCAAAUAUUAUCGUAUCAGUGGUUUGUUGGCUUGAAUGGGGGUUAAGGAGUUGUGCUGUUGCUGGGCAUAUAUAGUUUUGUGACAAGAAUCUUAUCCAGGUUGCUUACUUUGGGUUGAUGAUAAAAGUAGGAGUAGACGUUAAUAACAUUAAUAUAUGUUGGCUUAUUUUUUGAGGGGAUGUUGGCUUAUUUAUGUGGCACUAAUUGUCUUUAUGCCUUUGAGUUAAACACAAAACAAUGAUCCAACUCUUUGAACCUGUUUGUUUCAAGUAAUGAGUUAAUGAAUUUUUCACCACUUGGAGUCCUCCCUCAAACUGGAUCUGCUCCCCGCUGCCUCAAACUGUUUUUUUUUUUUGAACGAAUGUGUUUUCUAAGUUCAUUCUCAGAACAAUGCCCGCCAUCAGAUUCAUCGACUAGCAUAGCAAGACAGUAUAACUUUUUACCAAAGAAAACUGAUUAUAUAGUAUAUAUAGAAUACUUGUCUUACACACAGUGACAAUCCAACAAUAUCUAUGCAACAGGAAUAAUAUGUUAGUGUGCAGAUCAUACCCUCUCAACUCUGAACUCUUCUGCAGCAGGGAGUUCAAGAUAUAUUUUGUACAUAGCUGACAGUGCACCAUUCCGGACAGCGGGACAGAGAAGCUCCAAUCAAAAGUCUCCGAUGUUCUGUCUUAUCUUCUAGGUUUUCGGGCUUGGCUCAAUUGGAAAGGCCCAAUUGAUUUUGGGCUUGAGUACAACCCAGCAUAAGGCGCCACCGAUUAGGCCCAAGCCCAACGUUAAGCCUUCAAGCAGAGGGAGAACCAAAAAAAAAAAAAAAAGUUCACUUCCGAUCCAGCGCCAUGGCCGCCGCCGCCGCGGAGAACGCGGCCAGCGGCAGCGUCCGAGGCUACACCUCCGCCGGUAAGAACGCCACCACCGCCAGUUCGAGAACGAGCACCGGCCAUCCCAUCGAGGUGCAUUCUGGAACGAGCCGCCGCCGCCCGCCUGCCCUCUCCCACUUCUCCGUCGUCCACUGUCCCGAUCGCCCGGAGUUGGACAUGCCAGGAGGUGUCCGUGGAGGAUCCGGUGAGGGACAGGUUGUGCCCGAUCCAUCACUCAGCUGAGAGAGCCAUAUGUACCACCUGACCACCAGCCAAGACCAUCAUGCUCGGAGGCGCAAAGGGCACCGUCGGCUGGGUCGAUCUCUGGCGCGGGCAUCCUCGUCUGCGACGUGCUCGACGAAAUGUCUCCGAAGAAGCUCCGCGACAUGUCUCCGAGGAGUGGCCAAGCUUGACACCACAAAGAACACCCUCACCUCCAUUCGAUGAUACCUUGCAACUUCCAUCUCCAAACAUCUCAACACUACUACCUGUAGUAUACUCAAUUAAUUACCGCUCCUUGUUGUCAUGUCUGUUAUUUGCGUGCUGUUCUACGAGAGAUUAAUCUCUUUGGCUUAAAUUUCUGUCUCAAUUCUUAACAUGCAUAACAGAUUUUAAUCGGUCAAUAUAUAAGUUAGGCUAAACUUUGUUGUGUUCCUUUGCUUGCCGGCAUGUAAGUUCCGAAGAAUUUUGUUUAAACUCUACAAUGUUUGGCCAAGAAAAUUUCUCAUAUCUAGCUAAGAAGAACUAAAAGGAAAAGAGCUGCUGCUCUUGUUCGCCAGUAAUCUGCAUCAAUGGAUAGUGUAUACUGAUCAUUCCGGCGUUGACAUGGCGAAAAGUAUUUUGUCAAUAGGAAGGAGGAGAAUCACACGCCAAGUGCAUGCAUGAUUUUUCAAUUCAUUUCAAGGCAAAGUUUCUAGACAAAGCUAGGUUCUCGAUAAGCCGGCCACUUUGAUUUGAUGACAAUUAGGUUAAUUAAGGCAAUCUUCUUGCCUUUCCUUUUCUAUCAAUAGUGGACAAAGGUGAGAGCUGAUAUUUAUUAUAUCCUGUUAGCCAUUCAGAAAGUGCUUUCCAUGACAUUCCAAACGAAAUGAUAUUUUUCUCAUGUUCAGUCGGCCAUGCAUCUUCAGUUUAACUAAACAAGACCAAAAAAAAAAAAACUUAUAUCCAACAUAAGAUAUAUAUGCCCUAUGAGCAUAAACGCACUCAGUGAUAAAAUAUACUAGUAAGAGGUAAAGCUAAGGUGAAUGCUGACAAGAGACAAGCCCAUCUGUCCCUCAAAGAUAACAAAUACUACUACUGACUGAAACAAAAUUAAAGCAUGAUAGCCACUUCUGAAUUUCUGAAUGGCUGAAGGGGAAAAAAAUUGAACAGGAUACUGCAUGCUGAUCGAGUUGAACAAGUAAGAAAAGGUGUUCAUCUUUGCAGAGACAAGAUCUAACACAUUUCUAACUGCAGAGGUAGUUCAUAGCAUCCAUCGAUCACCUACACACAAUAUCCUCUCUCAUGCCUGACCCCUGCACAAACGCACACCGGAUUGCAAAUACACAUAAUUUAGAUCUUUCUAAUGAUUUUGUAUCGUCAAAUAAUCUUGCUUGUUUUGGUCGACCUUCAGAAUUGAGUUGAUGAAGUUCGUCGCAGUGAGCUCUUUGUAGGCAUCACCAGUGCAGCAACCUCCUGUUUCAGCUGUCCAAGCAGAAGUACAAGUGCUCGUCACAUGAAUGAUCAAAUCACAACAUUUCAAAAGUAAUGAGUUAUUAUCAACUACUACCUCCAUCCCAGAAUAUAAGAACCUAUGGUCAGAUGGGAUGUUUCCUAGCACUACGAAUCUGGACAAAAAUAGAAAACGCAUCAUCCGAUUCUAGAUUCUUAUAUUCUGAGACGGUGGUAGUAAUUAAUUAGUGAUGUGAAGAUCACUUGUGAAUUGAAUUAGUGAUGAGUACCUCUUUGCACUGCUUCUUGAGAUUCAAGUUGUCAUCCACCAGCCGGCGAACCUCUUUCUCUAGCUCUUCAACGUACGCCUGCAUAACAAAUUACUUCACAAUUAAUACAAUCUGAAUCGUAUUAAUAUGACAGAACUGGAUUCAUUGACAAGUAGGCAGUCUGUUUUUUUUUUGGGGAUGCUUAUUGCCCUUUUGGUAGGUACAAAUGCAUGGUUAGUUCUGAAAUGGAGUACCUCUAGAGUCUAGAGAGGUUAGAUGGAGACGGUAAAAGGAGCUCCUCACUAGCAGCAGGUGUGAUCCAAUUAAUUCAUAGUGCAGUCCUAUUCAGAUGAUAGAUAGUCGAGAUAAUGCCAAGCUAGUUUUCAUAUUUUCCUCUUGUCCCGAUCAACUUAAGUUCUUUAUGCUUAUUUAAUUAGUCCGUACCUAACAAGAGAAGUAUAUAUUAGCGUGAGACUAUCUGUUAAAAUAUCUCAAGCAUACGAGGAAGACUUUUUCUUGGGGGCAGGAGUAGUUAAUUGUGAUGUAAGCUGAGUCUAACGUGGUGAUUAUAUUUUGGGAUACCUUGUGUCAUGCAUCGACCCAAAUAUAGUUAAUAUCAACUGGGACAUUAUGUUCAUUUCUUUUUUGCUUAGAAGGUUCGAUUUGUCGUUGUUAACAGUCUCUAUUUAAUCUGGAACUCUUACAAAUUCAGGGGCACCAAUUUUCUCUAAUGUUUAAUCAAGAAAGAGGAUACAUGUAGCAAUUAGCAAAUCAUUCAAGAAAAGAACAUAAUUGCACAUUCGUUUUUUCGAUGGUAAUUGUGUUAACUACUUAACUUUAGGAGUGAUUUGGGAUAUUUACUAUUGAUGAUCUAUUGAGUUGGCCUAAAGGGCAUAUAUGCGUACAAGGGAUGGAAAAUAUAUAUAAUACCCAUGACUACACUACUAUUGUUAACAAAUUGCACAUUCUUUUUUUCCGCACAUUCUUUUUUUAUUAUUAUGUACUAUUAAUUAGUGAUAUAUAUAUAUAUAUCACAAAUUUCCAAUAUGCAUGGAGAGACAAGUAGACACCAUGUCCACGAGGAUAUCAUACAUAUAUAUACACUCUCUGGUAUGGGCCCUUUCUGCUGGACUUGGAAUCUUGGAUUAGGUGAAGCUGACUUAAUUUUGAUAUUAAUUAUCACACAAGUGCCUGCUUGGAUGAUGAUAGACUGGUAAUAAAAGAAAGGGCACUAAUCAAAGAAGAGAUAUGCAUAUUUAGGCCAUAUUGACUAAACAUUAUCAACAGGAACCUAUGCAUGAUGCAAGAGAUAACACACUCCAUCAACUUUUUAGUUCUUUAACAAAUUGACCAAACUUGGUCACUAUACUCGAGAGUUUCACUCCAUACAGUAUCUGCCCAAGGUACACACAGAUAUCUCCUCCAUGCACCAUCAUCAAGGAUAUUAUGUAAAAUAUAUAGACUAACUCCUUUAUGAAAUGUAAUGAAAUUUGUUCAUAUAUAUUCAGUUGUGUAAACUAACCAGUUCAGCUCAGCUCAAAAACUUAACGAUGAAUAACGACGUGACUGCAAUUUACUGAUAAUUCAAUGUGCAAAUUAUAUAAUUUCGCCUGCUACAAACUUCUAUUGAAAACCUAAUUAAUUAAAUUAUCGCAUUCCAACAAUGACCUUAUAAGUGAUCGACUUAUUAGCAGCAUUUUAUUUUUGUGAAAGAUCCAGUUUUAAUUAAAUUCUAAUUAUAUUCAGUUUUUGAAAAGAGAAAUUUCCAUGUUAAUUACUCCCUCCGGACAUAAUUAAGUACAUGCCGGCCGUUUCAGACAAUUAAAUUGGCCUGCGUUUAAUAGAACGGAAUUGCUUUGUCGGAAAGCACAAGUAAUAUUGAUCGGAGAGAGUACAUAUGAGAACAUUUGUUGAUGAUCAGUAGUAAUUCAUACCGUACGUUAUAAACACAUACGUACAUAAAUACUGUAGUAUGAUACGUAUAAUUAUACGUAUUUGGUAUUGUAUAUACGUACGUACCCUCUUGCGCGCCCUGGAGCGAAGCGCGGACUCCCGGUUCCUCAUCAUCCGGAUGGUCCUCCGGUCGUCGCCGCUGCCGCCGCUCUGCUGCCGCACCUCCAUGUCCACCUCGUCGCCGCCGGGGGUACUGGCGCCGCCGGCGAUCCCGGCGAGCGACACCGGCGUGGCGGGCAGCGCGGCGCCGGCGAGGCGGACGCCGCCGCCGUCGUCGUCGUCCCUCAGGGUGGAGAUGGAGAAGAGGGAGCUGCAGCCGCUCAUGAUGCUCAGCUGCGGGCUGUCCGGCUCCCUCGGCCACGCCACCGCUGCCGCCGCCGCCAUCUGGUAGUACUCCUGGUGGUGGUAGUUCGCCAUGGCCGCACCCUGCACCUGCACCUUCUUGCUUGUAGCUGCAGGAUCCUUAAUUCGAUCGCCAACAGCUGCAGUUAGUGCUCCUUGCUUUUGGUUGUUGUUGCUAAGCUUGUCUCUGGCUCUCUCUCUCUCUCUCUCUCUCUCUCUCUGGAUGUCUACAUAUAUAUAUAUAUAAAUCAGACUUAAUUAAGCUAGCUUCAUGAGACAGCUAGCUCAACAGCUGCUAGCUUUUAAGCCUUUAAGUACCAACAGUGUCAUUAUGCGUGUAAUAUAUUUUGCUAGCAUGCAUUUAAAUAUGAAGAAGUAAUUAAUCAAAGUGCAUUCAUACCAUGUCAAAAGAACAAGAGAAUAGAGCAAGUAAUAAGGUAUUGACCAAAGCAUACUUGAAAAAGUAGUAUAUUGCUUUAGGUUUUGCUUUUCCUGUUGUACUCAAUGUGGACAACAUGAAUGCUCUUCCUCUUGAGUACUAAUUCUUGCUUCAAGGACAUUUUAUGAGAUAAUAGCUAUUUUAUUUGAUGUAGACACAAGAGUUGGACGACCUGAGGAGGAUGCAGAAGCCGCCGAGUAGAAUGUGCGAACCCAGUGACAUAUAUGCAUCAUACUGCAGCCUGCCUGGAUGCAAAUAUUAUCGGAUCAGUGGUUUGUUGGCUUGAUUGGGGGUUAAGGAGUUGUACUGUUGCUGGGCAUAUAUAGUUAGGCUGUGUUCGUUUGGACGUUUUCCCAGCGCCCUACAGUGUUUUGCCCCUCGCGCACGCUUUUCAAACUACUACACGGUGUAUUUUUUUGCAAAAAGUUUCUAUACAAAAGUUGCUUAAAAAAAUCAAAUUAAUCCAUUUUUGAAAAAAAAUUAGCUAAUACUUAAUUAAUCACGUGUUAAUGAACCGUUCCGUUUUCCGUGUUACUGUAGCGCGCUGGAAAAACGUCCAAACGAACACAGCCUUAAUAGUUUUGUGACAAGAACCUUGUCCAGGUUGCUUACUUUGGGUUGAUGAACCCCUCUAUAAAAGUAGUAGUAGACGGUAAUAUUAAUAUAUGUUGGCUUAUUUAUAUGGCACUAAUUGUCUUUAUGCCUUUGAGUUAAACACAAAACAAUGAUCCAACUCUUUGGACCUGUUUGUUGCAAGUAAUGAGUUAAUGAAUUUUUCACCACUUGGAGUCCUCCCUCAAACUGGACCUGCUCCUGAACCCGUCUCCCCACUGCCUCGGUGACGGUGACCAUGAGGUCACCAUACUUAAACAGAUGAUUUCCUACGCGUUGCUGCGGGAAUUGGUAUAAAACUUCUGUUAGCAAAUUUGAUGAUAAGAAAUUUAGGAGGCAUUAUAUUGGGUAUAUAUAAACAUGCUAGCUAUACCUUAGAUCAAAAUAGAACUGGAAAACAUUAUAAUUUAUAAGAAAAACUUAACAUACAGAAAAAAACUGCUUUGUUAUUUUGCAGGUGAUUGAAAAUCUUCAAUCUGUCAGUCGAUUUUUAUACCCAUUGCUUUUUUGGAAUGUGCAAAUUUUUAGCAAAAACUUUUGCAACUUUUUAGGAUUUAGCUGCAAGUUUUCGAAAACUAAAAAUUUGAAUGUUCUCAGUAAUGUUAUAUAUCAGAAAAAUGGCUGUAGGGCCAGUUCCGAACUGCUUGUGCUUUUUGCAUUUUGUUUUCUUUUUUUUUUAUUUUGCCACCCUUGAAUGCUUGCUGCAUUGUGUAUCUAGGUACCUAGAGUAAUAUUUUUUUUUAUUUCCGCACCCUUGAAUACUUGCUACUGUUGUGUAUCUAGGAAAUUUUCCUCUAGGUAUUUUACCUAUUUUUGUGAUUUUUCUAAGAAUAAAAAAAUGCAAUCAUGUGCAACUUAAGUUAUAAAUAUGCACAACUUUAGUUAUAAAUACGUGCAACUUAAGUUGCAAAUUAAUGAGAAUUCUUAGAAUAUUUUGGUUUAUUUCCCAGCAUAAGUUUUGUUGUCGGGUUUUUUCCUUAAUUGUCAGUCACAUACACUUGCAAAAUGCAUAGACUAAACUUGCAGAGUUUAACAUCAUUUACUUAAGAACAAAUACCUAGUUCUGUUCUUGUUGCUUCCAUCCAAUUUCCAAUUGCACAAUGCAUAGACUAAACUGGCUUGUACUGAAGAAUCUGUUUGUCUUUUCAGUUCCUUGGUUAAUCUUUUAUUUGUAUGCAAUUUUGGUUGUAUGGAUGGUGAUUUUUUUUUGUUAUCUGCAUGUUUCGCUGUAAUUGAUGGUAUGAAUCUUUUUUUUUUGUUUUGCUAUGAGAUGAUUGCAAAUUUGUUUUGACAGGGAUAUAUAGAGUUGUUUUUUGCUAGACUGUACAUCUACUAGCAUUUUUUGUUGGGAAUGAACACCUUUUGUACAUAAGAGUUGGAUACUAUUUUGUGAUUCUAGAAGAGCUGGACACUAUUUAGCUUGAUUUUCUUCUGUACAUGCAGCUUCCGUCCAAUAUGCAAUGGCAUGAACUGGCGAUAUGUUUUUUUUUUCCGGGGAGAGCUGGCGAUAUGUUGCAACUUGCAAAUGCUAGUAGGUUUUGUUAUGCUUGCCUAAAAGAAGUUAGUACUUGACAUACUAAUAAUAAGUAAAGUCCCAACGUUUACUAUUUUAUCUCAGUUUGCUUCUGUAGCUGUUGAGUUUGCUUCUGUAGCUGUUGCUUCCAUCUAAUUUGCAAUGGCAUGAAAUGGCUUGUACUGAAAUAUUAUGCUUUUGGACUGGUGAUAUGUAGCAAGUGCUAGUAGGUUUUCUCGUGUGCUUGAAAAAUGCUUGUACUAGGCAUAUUAAUAAGGAGAUUCAAUGUGUAUGUAAUCUAACCCUCACUAAGCGUUGAAUGCUGAGCGAUUCAGAGAACAUAUUUUUCUUUUCGAUCGAGUGCAUUUGCACCCUCCAUCCCAAAAACAAUACUUUUUAACCAUGUGCAACUUCAAUUAUAAAAUUGUGAAACUUCACUUAAAAUUUUGUAAAGCUUUGAUUUCUUAAUACAACCUUUUUUGUUUUUGUGUGUCUAAGCAUGGAAUCCAGGCUUAAAUAUGUUUCAGUUCUACUUAGGUGGUAUGUUUUUCCCCACAAAAUUAGUGAAACGUGUCUGAAAUGCUCAGAAGAUGAAUUUGUUAGCAAUUAGCAACAACGUGAACGUGGAAUGAGUUUGGAUGCGUGAAUCAGGAUGGGUGCGUCGAGGGGAUUUUUUUUUGGUAGAUAGAUAUUGGCUGUUUAUAUAGUUGAAACUCCAACUUUACGUCGAGUUAACCUGUCAUCCCUUAUCUUUACGUCGAGUUUGUAUGACAUUCCUAAUCCACGAUACUAGAAAUCUUCAUCCCCUAAAUUAUAUAAAACAGUGUAAUUUAGAUUAUAUAGCAGUAUAUAAUGUUGGAUAGUACAGGGAGAGAGGAUAUUGCGAAUCGUGGAUUGACUGUAUUGAGCCUCAGAGGGCUGAUAUACAUAGGAGUACAUGGAGAGGAGAUAAGGAAGGAUUACAGAUAUAGGAGUCUACACAAAUCAAUCAUAUCCUAAUAUGACUCUAACAUCCCCCACAGUCCAAGCGUGAGCAGCGUGGACACUUGGACUGGAGAAGAAACCGGCAAGAGUACUCAAUACGGAUGAUAGCCCUGUGUACCGUAGUCAAUGUAGCCAAAGCGAAGGGUGCAAGGGAGCCGUAGUUGAUGAAGCCGUGUGUAGAGUAGCCGUGGUCGUUGUAGCCGAAGUCAGGAAGCUGAUGUCGAGGUAGCCGAGCCGCAGGACGCGCAUAGGGCGCCGUAGAGUGGUCGUGGACGCACGGGAGGGGCGUCGUGGACCAAGGUGCGCGAGGAUGCACUGGAGACGAAGACGGUGACACAAUCACGGCAGUCGUUGAGGAAGAUGACGCCGAAAAGCCGAUGUAGUCGAACCGUGAAGGACGAGACGUCACACAGGGUGUCACGCCCCGAACCAGUCCCGACCGGAACUAGCCCGUGACGCUCCAAAUUAACCUGUUAAUCGAUACCAGUCCCAGGAAACAGUGCUGGUAUCACAGGGAGACAGAAUAUCACAGCAACAGAGGUCUCUUUAUUAUAGAGUAGAGGUACAGUCAUGUUGGGCUGCGGACAGAUCCCGAGCUCACAACUGCAUUACAAAAGGGAAACGGAAGCCAGGACUUGGACCAAUCAACACAGGCGCGACUUGGGAACUAGGCUGAAACCCUAAAACUCAUCGUAGCCGGCUUGCUCCUGGAAGAAGUCCUCAUCAGCAGGUUUCGCUUCAUCUUUUUCAGCAACUGGGGGGGGGGAUUUUUUAUAUAGAGCAAGGGUGAGUACGGGAGUACUCAACAAGUGUCACGCCCCGAACCAGUUCCGGCUGGAACUAGCCCGUGACGCUCCAAAUUAACCUGUUAAUCGAUACCAGUCCCAGGAAACAGUGCUGGUAUCACAGGGAGACAGAAUAUCAUAGCAACAGAGGUCUCUUUAUUAUAGAGUAGGAAUAUAGUCAUGUUGGGCUGCGGACAGAUCCCGAGCUCACAACUGCAUUACAAAAGGAAAGCGGAAGCCCGGACUUGGACCAAUCAUCACAGGCGCGACUUGGGAACUAGGCUGAAACCCUAAAACUCAUCGUAGCCGACUUGCUCCUGGAAGAACUCCUCGUCAGCAGGAUCCACUUCAUCUUCUUCCGCAACUGGGGGGGGAUUAUUUAUAUAGAGCAAGGGUGAGUACGGGAGUACUCAGCAAGCCAGGGGAAAAUAAGUGUUUAAUGCAGGCUUCAAGGAAAGGCUGUUGUUUUUGCAAUUGAUUUUAUUUGAACUCUUUUCUAGAAGCAACUAAGUGAGUGCUUCUCAAACGACACGGAUGAGGCAGUGCGUCUCGUCCGGUCGGAGUAUGUGCAAUGUAUCAGUCUUUAGAUUUGAACAAGAUUGGCACCCGGCCAAUAGCUUUUUAAACGGCCACCCGGGCCAACACCUUUCAAACGGCCACCCGGGCCAACAACUUUUCAAACGGCCACCCGGGCCUAGCUGAUCCCGUCAGCUGCGGAUUCUUUUCAAACAUCGAACCCGAUUUCACAUCAGCAAUUUCACAAGCAGUAGUCAAACAAAACUACGCUAGGAAUCACCUCACAUCCGCCCAUGACCGUGGGCACGGCUGUUCGAACAGUUUGUUAACCUCUGCAGAGGGGGUACACUUUACCCACACGACAUUACUAACCCGGGUCACCCAGCCCGUGGGGAUCAGCCACGUCGGGAGACCUCCAAGCUUUCAUGACAAGGCAUUUCGAAAGCCGACACAGGUUUACCAUAUGCCGACGAGAGGGGUCCCAGACCAACAACAGGUUAGGUCCCAGACCAUACUGUGCCAGGAAGCCCAGGGGUCCUCCCCGACACCACCCCGGCGAAUCCACAUGUCUCUCGGCAUCAAGGCUCCCCUGAUAAGCUAGUUACUCAGCCAGGGGUGUCCCAUUCCACCCAUGUGGUCGUACUUGUCUUAUGUUUGGAUGAAAUUCCAAGGAAUCGGUCCUUAAGUGCGAGAGCGGGAAACCGUACACCCGGUACGUUCCCCGGUCCGCGGAUUUGGAAAUUCAUUUAGUUCGCAAGCACCGACCCAGGUGUCGGGUUUUCCAAGUCUUUUGUAAAACUCCAGUUUUACCCAAGUUGUUACUUCAGAUUUUAAAUUUGAAGGCGACCGUCGAUAUUCGCACAGAGUGCACGAAUAUCGCGUCGCAUCUGGGUGGUUACAAGGGGACAUGGUGUAACAAUUAACAACGGAUGGAUCAAAUGCAACAAGUUAGGUAGGUCCGCCAAUCUGCCUUGCAGACGGGACAACAGAUUAAGUGUGAUCCUAUCAAUGCAUAAUAUUUUGCAAGCAAUAUAAUUAAAUUUCAAAUAUAGGCUCAAGUUGUUCAAAGGUGGCUUGCCUUGCUCGAGAUCUGGAGCUUGAUCCUCGAAAUCCUCGCACUGCGGGUCUUCGGGCUCCGAAACUACACGCGAAACGGGACAACUCAACAAACGGCGAGAAUAAAGCCCUAUUAAUGACCCCUAAGCGUGCCAUUAGAUAGAUCUCGAGAUUUGGGAAAUUUUGGAAGUUGAACGGAGUCAAAUGGAGUUAUGGUUGGAAAGAUAUUGAAUUUCUAAGGUUAUUGGAUUUUUGGUCUAAAGGAAAAAGGAUUUAAUUAAAUCCCUUUUGGAAAAAGAAAAAGGAAAUGAUGAAGGGAGGGAAUCUAGACUUUCCUCGGGCGGCUAGGGCGCGGCCCAAAGGUAUUCGGCUCGGUCCGGCCGAGCUAAACGGGCCGGACGGCCCAAGGCGGCCCAUUUACGCGCGCGCGCGGGAGAGGAGAGAGAGAGAGCCGGUGGACCGGGCUCACCUCGCGCGGCCCCGGGUGGGACCCGCUUGUCAGCGGCUCGGCCCACCGUGCGGAGGGAGCACGCGGCGCAUGCGCGCGGGCGGAAGGGGGAAAGCGGUGUACGCGCGGUUUACGGAGGACUCGGGUGCGGCGGGCCCACGCGCAGCCUCACGGCUUGCGGUGGAACGCGCGCACGGGGAGGGAUCGGCCGGGGUCGGCCCGUCCCGAGCUCAGCCGAGCUGGCGCCGACGUGGCGCUUACGUGGCGGCCACGUGGGCUGGCAGGAGGUAGACGACGACCGACCGCAAAUGAACGGCGGGCGACGGCGGCGAGCGGUAGAGCGGGCCACGGCGAUACCGGCGAAGGCGAGCACGCCGGGCGGUAGUACGGGACGAGAGGAGACGAGCCAACGGCUCGGAUUCGCCGGAGGUUGCUCGGCGGCGGCGGAUUGCGGCGGCGGCAACCGGCGGCGGGAGAAGAGGGAAACGGCGAUGAGGCCACGAGAGGUCGAUUUCCGGCGGUGAGAGCAUCUACAAGGCCACGGGAACUCGAUGCUAGGGUUGGAUUGGACGGAGCUAUGCCGAGCUGGGCUGGCGACGUGCGGCUACUUCGGAGCUCGGGCGGCGACGGCGGCGAGCACAUGGCGAACAACGGCAUCGGUCGGGGCGGCGCCGGCCAACUACGGGAGGUCUACUCGAGCUAAAACCGAAGUCUAAGGGGGGGAGACGGAGCGAGGAGGGAGAACGAAGCGAAACAUCACCGCGGGAAGGAGGGGCGCUGUGACGAGAGGCCGACGGCGCGGGAGUGAUCUCUCCGGCCUCGGGCCGGGGAAGAGGAAGAAGAGGCGCGGCCGGAGUCCUCUUCGGCGUCCUCGCUCGUGCCGGCUCCUCCGACACGCGCGGCGACGUUUGGAGACGGCGAAAAUAGAGACGGCAGUGGAGGAGGCGAAAAUGGGGAGGAAAGGAGAAGGGGAAGGCCGGGGGUUUAAGGAGGCGGCAAUGUCGGUUUGGGGAACCGACUUGCGCGGUCAAGAGCGCGAGCUGGCUCUCGGCUAGCGGCCAAAGCGGUGGCAGACGGGAUGACGCCGGCGGGAGAGGAAAAAGGAGGAAGGGGAAAAGGAGGAGGAGAAAGGAAUUCUCUCCUUUGCCGAUUCGGGAAAAAGAGGGUGGGCGCGGGGCGACGACGCGGCAGAGGGAGGUGAGGCACGGCCUCCGGGCCUUGGCGGCUAGCGCGCGGAGUGGCGGGGGCCGGCGAUGACGACGGCGGGCGGUUUGGAGCGGAGCGGCGACAGCGGCGACUGGCGCGGGCAGAGCUGACGGCGGCGGCGACCGGGCGGUCGGCCACUCGGCUUGCGCGGGCGCGAGGCAACGGGCGACGGCGCGCGGGGGAGGGAAAAGCGGGGCGCGGGCGGCUCACGCGCGCACGCGCGCGGCGCGCGGGCAAAGCGGCGGGAUCGGGAGAGAGCGAGGGAGCGCGAGGGAGAGAGAGAGAGAGAGGGAAAAGGGCCGGGGAGAGAUGGGCCGGGGGAGGCAAGGUAGACUUUGCGGAGGAAAUGAUUCGGAAGAUUUGGAUUCGGAAUUUGAGCUCGACGAUAGAUCGGGGAUUGAGAUCUUGAGAUGGCACGGACACUAGACAACAAUCAAAGGAACAAAUUUCGCAAUUAGGGUUUUUGAGAGAUAAUUUUCCCGCUAGGCGCCACGACGGAACGGGCGCUACAACAAGCCAUGGGAAAUAAGUGUUUAAUGCAGGCUUCAAGGAAAGGCUGUUGUUUUUGCAAUUGAUUUUAUUUGAACUCUUUUUUCUAAAAACAACUAAGUGAGUGCUUCUCAAACGACACGGAUGAGACAGUGCGUCUCGUCCGGUCGGAGUAUGUGCAAUGUAUCAGUCUUUAGAAUUGAAACAAGGUUGGCACCCGGCCAACAGCUUUUCAAACGGCCACCCGGGCCAACAACUUUCAAACGGCCACCCGGGCCUAGCUGAUCCCAUCAGCUGCAGGUUUUUCAAACAUCAAACCCCUUUCCACAACAGCAAUUUCACAAGCAGUAGUCAAACAAAACUACGCUAGGAAUCACCUCACAUCCGCCCAUGACCGUGGGCACGGCUGCGGGUCUUCGGGCUUCGAAACUAUACGCAAAACGGGACAACUCAACAAACGGCGAAAAUAAAGCCCUAUUAAUGACCUCUAAGCGUGCCAUUAGAUAGAUCUCGAGAUUUGAGGAAUUUUGGAAGUUGAACGGAGUCAAACGGAUUUACGGUUGAGAAGAUAUUGAAUUUCUAAGAUUAUUGGAUUUUUGUCUAAAGGAAAAGGAUUUAAUUAAAUCCUUUUUGGAAAAGAAAAGAAAAGAAAAGAAAAGAGGGAGGGAAAAUAGACUUUUCCUCGGGCGGCUAGGGCGCGGCCCGAGAGAAUUGGGGCGGUCCGGCCGAGCUAAAUGGGCUGGGCGGCCCAAGGCGGCCCAAGACGCGCGCGCGCGGGAGGGGAGGAGAGAGAGCGCCAGUAGACCGGGCUCACCACGCGCGGUCCCGAGUGGGACCCGCUUGUCAGCGGCUCGGCUCGCCGUGCGGAGGGAGCACGCGGCGCACGCGCGCGGGCGGGGAAGGGAUGCGGUGCACGCGCGUGGUCCGCGGUGAAACGGAUGCGGCGGGCCCACGCGCAGCCUCACGGCUCGCGGUGGAACGCGCGCACGGGGAGGGGCUGACCGGGGUCGGCUCGACCCGGUCUUGGCCGAGCUGGCGCCGACGUGGCGCCUACGUGGCUGCCACGCGGGCUGGCGGGAGGUAGACGACGACGCCUGCCGGAACGGACGGCGGUCGACAGCGGCGAGCAGCGGAGCGAACCACGGCGAUACAGGCGAAAGCGAGCACACCGGGUGGUUGCUCAGGUCGAGGAGAGACGAGCCAACGGCUCGGAUUCGUCGGAGGGAGCUUGACGGCGACGAAUUGCGGCGGCGGCAAGCGGCGGCGGGAGAAGGGGGAAAUGGCGACGAGGUCACGAGGGGCCAAUUCCCGGCGGUGAGAGCAUCUACGCGGCCACGGGAAUCCGUUGCUAGCGUCGGAUUGAGCGGAGCUACGCCGAGCGAGGCCGGCGACAAGCGGGUGCUACGGAGCACGGGCGGCGACAGCGGCGAGCACACGGCGAGCGGCGGCAACGGUCGGGGCGGCGCCGGCUAGCUACGGGGAGGCUACUCGAGCUACUACCGAAAAUUUAGGGGGAGAGGUGGAGCGAGGAGGAAGAACGGAGGGAGGCACUACCGAGAUGAGGAGGGGCGCUGUGACGAGAGGCCGACGGUGCGGGAGUAAUCUCUCCGGCCUCGGGCCGGGGAAGAGGAGGAAGACGAGCGCCCGGAGUCCCCUUCCGCGUCCUCGCUCGUGCCGGCUCCUCCGACGCGCGCAACGACGAACGGCGUCGGCGAAACAGAGGGGCGGCAACAAUGGAGUGGAGGCGAUGGGAGGAGAAGAGAGGGAGGGCGCCCGGGGCUUUAAAGGGCGGCAAUGUCGGUUUGGAAACCGACUUGGGCGGUCAAGGCGCGAGCUGGCGCUCGGCGCUCGCGUCCAAAUCGGCGACAGGGCGGAGGGAGGAUGACGCCGGCGGGAGGAAAAUGGGAAAAGGAGGGAGAGAAAGGGGAGCUCGCCCUUUGCUUCUUUGGGAAAAGGAGGAGGGGAGCGGGGGCGACGCGGCUGAGGGAGGAGGGCUCUGCCUCCGUCCCUUGGCGGCUUGCGCGCGGAGUGGCGGGGCCGAGGCGAUGACGGCGGGGCGAUUUGGAGCGGAGCGGCGACACGGGCGACAGGCGCGGGCAGAGGCUGACGGCGGCGGCGACCGGGCGGUCGGCCACCACGGCACGCGCGCGCGGGAUGCAACAGAAGGCGCGGCGGAUUGAGAGGCGCGGCUCGGGCACGCGCGCUGGCUGCGGGGCCGAGCGGCUGCGCGGCCGCAGGCGCGGCAGGGCAGCGGGGCCGGGCGGCGCAGACGCGACGCGGGCGAGGACCACGCGGGCGCGCUCGCGCGAACGAGCGCGGGGAGCGGCAGCGAGGGAGCGGAGAGAAGGGCUCGGCUCGGCGCGGGCGGCUCACGCACACGCGCGCAGACAGAGCGGAGGAGGGAGGGGCGCUUGGCGCGGCGGCUCACGCACGCGCCGGCAGAGCGGAGGGACGAGGGGCGCUCGGCGCGGCUCCCGCGCACGCCCGCGCAACGCGCGGGCGGAGCGGAGCGGAGUGAGAGGAGAGAGAGCGAGAGAGAGAGGGCGCUGGGGAGGGAGGGGGAGAUGGGCCGAGAAAAAUUCGGCCCAUCGACCCCGGGGGAGGCAAAAUAGACUUUUGCGGAGGAAUUUGAUUUGGAAGGAUUGGAUUCGGAAUUGAACUCGACGAUAGAUCGGGGAUUUGAGAUCUGAGAUGGCACGGACACUAGACAACAAGCAAAGAAACAAAUUUCGCGAUUAGGGUUUUUAAGAGAUAAUUUUCCCGCUAGGCGCCACGACGGAACGGGCGCUACACAGGGUUUGCCAGACCCCGGGACAACUCGGGACGAACGCGCACGCCAGUGUUUCCAAUACCGCGUGGGCGAGGCAGGGGACCACCAUGAAUCAUAAGCCAAUGUUGAAGGAGACUAGCAGAGAAGACCUCCGGAACGGUCGCAACGCGAGAACGACGUAGAGGGAGAAUUGCCGGAGCAGCAUGUAGUUGUCGGAGAAGAGCAAAGUGUAGUCGAGGAAGAUACGGCGACACUGGCGAUGAAUCAUGAUGGACGAAAAAGAAGGCGAAGUAGCGGAACCAACGGCCUAGACGGCAACGUCAGUAGCCAUGUAGAGGUAGCUGGACUACCGGCCUAGAGCGGCGACGGUGGCAACUUGGAGACGCGGCGGCGAUGCUCGAAGUAGACAAAGAAGAUCCGAGUGGCUGACGAUGACCAAUGCGGACGACGAGGGUGUCGAAGCGCUAACGACGAUGAAAACGACGAAAGCGGCAAAGUUGUGGUUCGAGAAGACAACACAACUGCAGUUCCAUGUCGAUGCAGCGGCGAGAAGUCCACUGGUGAUGUAGCCAUGCUAAGGAGGGCGCCUGUCAGCACUGCAACAACCAGUGGAGGUGUGGACCACAGGCAGCGGAACUGCGGCCCUAGGGGGGCGACGCAGCGGCAGCCCGAAGCUUGAUGGCGUAGACGCGUAGUCGAAGAUGAUUAGCAGCAAGGUGUCGUCGUAGCCGGCCGUUUGAACGGGUGAUCAAGCCGAUGAUGCGUGGGGUAGAACGACGAAGUGGAAGCCGAAGCUCUGAUACCAUGUUGGAUAGUAUAGGUAGAGAGGAUAUUGUGAAUCGUGGAUUGACUGUAUUGAGCCUCAGGGGGCUGGUAUAUAUAAGAGUACAUGGAGAGGAGAUAAGAAAGAAUUACAGAUAUGGAAGGAGUCUACACAAAUCAAUCAUAUCCUAAUAUGACUCUAACUACCAUAUACUCUAACAUAUAUGUCCAGUUUCGUUGAUUUGACAUCCUACUCAGCAAAUAAAGAUAACAAAAAAAAUACGUGGGAGCCCACAUGACAGCUAUCCUCCUCUUUCUUCUCUUUUCUUCCCAAAACGCGGCUGGCGAAGAAGGUUGUAACAUCCCGAAAAUUUCGAUUCUGAAAUACGGAAUUAAAAACUCAGAAUAAUCAAAAAUCUUUUUAAAACCUUUUUGCAUGCUGGGAUUUAUUAUGCAUUUGUGUGUAUUUAGGUUGUGUGCUAAAGAUCUCGAUUAAAUCAUAUCUCCUAAAGGGACGCCCUCAGUCCAACGUCCUUUCUUUCCCAUAUCUUCACGGUCUGAUUUAUUAAGUGCUACCAAAUCACAGAAUAUUUAACCUGAAAAUCUUCCCUUAUGUCGCAGCACGACAUAUCUUUCUCAAUUCUUACCCUCCGGUUAUUUCAAACCGUUGUAUUAAUUCAACUCAAUAAAUCCUUCGAAUGUCUACAAUUGAUCGGCGUAUUUAUUUAUUGUGUGUCAAUUCAAAUAUAUUCAAUUCUAUUCCUACCGCGACGAUUGGAUUUGUAUGCCAUGCGUCGUCCCAAAAAUCACUGUUUUGUUUCCGUCGCCCGUUCGUGCAAAGCGCUCACGACGAAAUCCUAAGACUGCCGAUGGAAUUGUUUAUCGGGCGUCAUCCCUAAUUCCCUGUUCGAAGAUGCGGUGUAUCAUCCAAGCAAACCAAAUCUCGUAUUGCAGUUCAAUAAUCCAAUCCUUGUGCAUAUUCUAUUUCUAAUACCGAUCCAAGUCCAGUCCAAUUGUACAGUUCCAUAUAUACAGUCUGAGUACAGAGCCAAAAUAAAUGUUCAAAUUACAGUCCCAUUACAAAUACACUGUAUGUGUGCCAGCUCAAAUACAGACGCCAUUCCUUUUCAAAUCCCUACAAAAUACAAAAGCUCCUAUUACACUUGGGCCAUCUCCCCCUCUGCUAGCACAGCCCAUUUCACCACACAAGUCCAUUAUUCCUCCCCCAGCCGACUGACAGCCCACCCCUGUGCACUUGCUCAGCCAACCACCCAAAGUCUGCUUUGCCUGCCCUGCCCAAAACAACCAACAGACAUGCACAGGAGGUGCUCGACAUAAGCCCACAAGACACUACAGCACUUUGCACCCACCUUUGCCGGCUCACAACAGUAGCUAAUAAAUACCAGGGUCCCUCCCAAACAACAUCCCAUGCACCCAUGAUCCCAAUUCACAGGACCCUCCCCAAAGCACCAACAACACAGGAGACACAAAUCCACACUAAGAUGAUAAACCGAGUUCACCGAAAAAAACAUGCAUGUAUUGCUGUCCUAUUCCCUCAGCCGAACACCUGCAUGCACAGAACGUGUUCGAUCAAUUGCCCACAAGCCACCACAGUGAAUUGAACCUACUUUUGCAGCUACCAAAUGACAGGGGUCCCUCCACAACAGCAGCAACACAUUCACCAUGAACCCAAUCCACAAAACCCUCCACUAAAUACAUGCCACCACAGAACCAAGUUCACUGAGAAGAGCAACACCAAGUUCACACCGAAAAGUGGCAAAGCCAAGUACAAUGGGCCAUGCGUACCUGGUACUGUGGCGAUGUCGACGUUUCGGCACUGCUCCCUGCCCACCCUCACAUUGCCUCCCAUGCUCAGGCAGCCAGCAAAGCUAUAUAAACCCUACCAAAGACAGCAGCAGCUCGGCUCCUCUCCAUUUCUUCUCCCUUCUCCCAACUCGAGCUCUGCCAUUGCCACUCCUCCAUCUCGCGCACAAGCUGCCUGCCACCUCUCCGCUUGCUCCGCCACAGCCGGCUCCGGCUGGGCCUCAGUUGAGCAAGAGGACAGGAAGGCCGCCGCGCCAUUGAAUGACCUGAGAACGACUAACCCCUAACAUCUAACCCUUUGUUGUUCUGUUGCACUAACUCACUAACCCGCUGACUCUUUAUUUUCUGUUUCACUAACCUCUAACACACUCGGUUUGUUUACACGAGGGAAUUGAUGAUGAGAUUAAGAUGGGAAUUUGAUUUUUAAUCCCAAUAUCUUGUUUGGUAGUGGUGAUAGAAAUUGAUAGGGAGUUUAGUUGGAGAUUAGAUCAUUAAUAAAAACGGAUGGUCGAGAUUUGCUUAGACAAAGUAAAGGAGGAAUUUCCUCCCAAUUACCUGCCCCUACCCAGCUAUUGAAAAGGAGGGAGUUCCUUCCUCAAUUCCUCAUCUCCAUCUCACCAAAAUUCUCAUGUCUCCCAACUAAACAAGACACUUAAUAGCCUCAUCCCUCUAAACUCCCAAUCCCUACUAAAAACUCCCUCCAACCAAACGGGCCGACUGACCCCUUGUAUUUUCCGUUUCACUGACCUAUGACUCGCUAACACGCUAACCCCUAACCCUUAUCUCGCACUAACCCACUGACAUUUAUCCCCUACACUGCCGCUUCGUCACCCGCGCCAUAUGCGCGGCAUCGCCGUAUCACCUCCACCUCGAACCGCCACCCUCCUGCCCCGACGCCGCUCCCCCCUUUGACUUCCGUGCCGCCUCCCUUCCCCCAUGGCUGCGGCGCCGCGCACGGGCGCUGCCCAACCGCGCCGCGCCGUCGCCAGACCGCAGCCGUCACCACGCCGACGGCCUCCCCUCCAUUCCACCUCACUACCGCCGCCCCCAUCUCCCAUCCAUCCCCGCCGCUAGCCACCACCUGGCCGCGCUGCGCCGCCCCCGACCGCCACUUCGCCGCCCCAUCCUCCCUCCUCGGCCAGGCCGCCUCCCCACCGCGCGUCGCCCCGCCACCAACGCCCCCAGGCUGCCACCCGGACGCCACCGAGCCGAGCCGCGCCAGGCCAUCGCGCCGCUGCCCUCAGCCACCAUACGCCGGCCCUCCCCUCUCCAUUCCCCGCCGCCGCGCCAGCCCACCCUGCAGUCGAGCACCACCUCACCGCCGGUCCGCCGCACACCGCCCCGACGCCGCCGCCCCCGCCCCUCUCACCCGGAGGGUUUGCAAUUAUGACACUGCAAACAUUAACCUUUGCUAUAAUGACACUGGACCUAUAUUUUAUAAACACAGAUAGACCCAUUUGUUAUUCACUCGGAGUGUCAAAACAGCGAAGCCCUAUAUUUGCAGUCCAAUAUUGCAAUGUGCGCGGGAAGCAGAGAAGAGAACGAGAAGAAUUGAGAAAGAAGGAAGAAAGGGGAUAAGAAAGAGAGAGAAUAGAGGAAGAAAAUUUAGAGGAAAAGAAAAGGAAGUGGGACCCGCAGUCUAGACCCUUCCUCCCUGAGUUGACUUCCCCCAUGGAAGUCUAAAUCACUUCCCUGUACUUUAGUGUGUAAGUCCAAAGGACCAGGCCCUCUUAUGAAGUCUAUUUACCUCCUAGCAGAGGGAAAAGUACACGCAAGGUCCCUCAACUUGUUAGCCAGAUACAAAAUCGUCCCUCAACCGCAAAACCGGACAUCCGGCGUCCCCCAACUUACAAAACCGGUCACAAAAGGUCCCUCGGCGGUUUUGACCCCGGUUUUGUUCCACGUGGUGGCUGACUCAGCGUGGGACCCACGUGGGCCCCACAUGUCAGUAAGCCAUGUCAUCACCUCUCUCUAUCUUUCCUCCCCCUUCCUCUCUCUCUCACUUAUCUCCUCUCGACAGGAUGGGCGGCCCGGGCGGUGGGUGGGGAUGUCGCCGGGGUGAGGCGGGAGAGGAGGUCCGACGAUCGCCGACCGGCGACGCGGCGGCGGCGACACGGGAGAAGGGAAGGGCGGCGGCAGCCCAGCGCGGUCGCGGCGGCCAACAGACAGGCAUGGGACGGGCGGCGUGAAGGGCGGCAGCGGCGCGUGGUUGUAGACGAAGCCGAGGAAGACGGCGUCGACGUCUCCCCCAGCCUCAGCCACCGGGGAAGGAGCUGGGCACGGGUGGCAGCCGUCGAGGGCAUCGUGGCUUCGGUCCUCGAGCGCCAUCAUGGUGUCGCCGUCGUCGCCGCAUUCCUCCCGUCUCGCCGCCACCGCCAAGCCGACGCCGACGCGUUCCUCCUGCCUCGUCGCCACCGCCCAGCCGACCAGCUUGGCCGCUGCGGUCGCCCGCCGCUCCUUCUCGUCGGCGAGCACGGAGAGGAAGCUGACGCCGCCGCCUUGCUCCCCUCACCGCCGCCACCGCCGCCUUGCUCCCCUGAGCCAACGCCGACGCAUUCCUCCCGCCUCGAUGCCGACGCUGGCCUCCCCGUGCCUCCCUGCCAUCGUCACCGCGUUCCUCCCGCCUCGCCGCCGGAUUUGGACUUGGGAGGAGCUCACCGGCCUCCCCGCGCCUCCGCCGGCCGCGCGUGUGGCUCCAGCUUUGCCGCCGCUCCUCCUCUCCGCCGAUUCUUCCCCGUCGGCCGUGCCGACCCUCUUCUCCACCGCGUCGGUGACGCCGCCGCAUCGGCCCUUCUCUCCGCGUCAGUUAUGAUGGCCGUAGCCGCGCGCCGCCAUCGCCGACCGCACGAGGGGGACGGGGAGGCCGGCGAACUCGCACCGCCCUGAGCCCGCGCACCGCCACCCGGGAGCCGCCGUCGCUAGCCGCACCACCUUUCGGCCGCGCGCGCCGCCGCCUGUGCGAGAGCAAAGAGCGAGAGGAAGGAGAGAAAUAGAGAAAGAGAGAUAGGGUGCUAACGUGGCUUACUGACAUGUGGGGUCCACGUGGGUCCCACGCUGAGUCAGCCGCCACGUGGGACAAAACCAGGGUGAAAACCGCCGAGGGACCUAUUGUGACCAGUUUUGUAAGUUGGGGGACGUCGGAUGUCCGGUUUUGCGGUUAAGGGACGAUUUUGUAUAUGGCUAACAAGUUGAGGGACCUUGCGUGUACUUUUCCCCUAGCAGAACCCGAGGGAUUCAUUCACCUACAGAAGUCUAAUUGGUAUCCUCCAGAGCCCACCAUCGGCCUACCUAUACACUAAAGUCCAUACACAUCCUCAUUUCAGCCCAGAGCCCUAUCAUAAAGUCUAAAUCACCUCCCUUCCCGAGAGCACUCCCUCCUCGGUUUAUAAAACCUUUCAACUUCGGAAAUUCAUAUCUUUUGGACCAUAACCCCGAUUGACUCCGUCCAACAUCCAUAAUCUCUCUAAAUUCGAGAUCUAUUAAAUUGGCACCAUUAGUUGUAUUGAAUGUUGCUUUAUUUUAUUUCUUUUAGGAUUAUGCGUGGAUAUUCUUCGGUUAUUUAUCAGACGUGUCGGAUAUUUAUCGAUCGCGGGUAUUCUAACUAAUGCGGAUAUCUCGAAGACAUUAGGAACCUAUAGCAAGGCAAGUCACUACGCUCCCUUCCUUGAACAUAUUGAUCCUAGAUUUAUAAAUGUUUUGUUUACAAAUAAAUUGCAUGCUAUUUAUAAAGUGCGUAUCUAUGCUCGAUUAUGCCUACAUUUGAUAUUGAUUACCUUUAUACAUGUUGUAUACCUUUGAUUAGCUGAGUCGUUUAUUUAUGUGUGGUCAUUUAUUGACAUUGCUUAGCGAUGCUAUUAUAGACAUACGUACACUCUAUAUUUAUGCUAGAUGAUUAUGGGUGUGAGAUCACUCGAUGUGAGUGAUUGAUGAUUUGCGGGUGGAGACAUGAGUGCCACCCGCCACACACAAACCUUCUGCGAAAACCAAAACUUAAUACAACAAAACCAUUUCGACUGGGGCGGCAUGAAUAGAAUAUGGGUGGGUCUGGAAACGGUUAGUCGCCGACCCUAGUCAGUUAUGGACCGAGUCAGGAAGCUAUACGAGAAACGAACAGAGUACGACCGCAUUUCUUCAGUGGGUAUAGACCAGCGGAUUAGGAAGCUCUUGUGGGGCGACACCUCAGUCAUGGUUAGUUCUGUAUAAGUGUGUUGUGAUGAGUGCAGUGUCGGAAAGGUAAAGGCCAUGGUAUAAACUUAAAAUGAACCCUAUAACUAUAUAUAUAAUAUAAUAUCCCCAAUUCCCUAGAGCGCCAGGACUCCCCUCACUAUCCGGCAGAGGGGUUAGGAGUGCCGGGGCGCAAUGGGGGUUCAUAGUCCUUGGAGCGGGUGCCGAAAUGCGAGAGCGACUGAAAAGCUGUGCCGUGGCAAGUCUUAUAUGUUGGGACUAGGCUUAUGUGUUGGGCAAGCCACGGAGUGCGGGAUUAAAAGCGUACAUCCACUGCAGUGUGAGUAAAUCUAUCUAUUCGAAUAGCUGUGCUCGCGGUUAAUGAGCGCCGAGACCUGUACUACUCUUGACUAGACUUAUAGAUUUUAAUACUGCUUAGAGUAGUUAUGAGAGACAUGUGAACCUCGCCCAUAGAGUGGGAAGGUCAGUAUAGUAGAGUUAAUAAGACGAAAUAUGAGGGUAAACCGAACUAAGCAGGGCUUGGAGAGGUGGAUGAAACCUAAAUAAUUACAACUUCAACAAUAACGUUGUUUUUCAGUUAAAACUGCUAUGCCAAUAGGCUUGUGAAAUGAAUCGUGAAAACUAGCCUUAUGCAAAUAAACUAAGCCAUCCUUGAACCCUGUGUGCAUUAGAUUCAUUUUGUAGUGGUGGCUUGCUGAGUACGUAAAUCUUUUAGAAAGAAGUUGGCGUCGAUUAGAUUUAUGCCAUGCUGCUGUCAAGAACGUGUUGAAGAUGAUGGAUUAGGGACCAUAGGUUCACCAGUCGUUGCUUGUGGAGUUCGAUGGACCGCCGUUGCUUCGCUUCCGCUGUUCUAUCUAUUGCUUUGGUAUUUUGUAUUGUAAGUGAUCAUGCUUGGUCUAUUUCGGGACCCAAUAAGGUUACCCUUGUAUUAUUAUUAUAGAAACACCGGUAAACGAUGUCAGUUAUAAUAUUAUACUGUGCUAUGUGUGUACCACCUACUGAUCCAGGAAGUGGUACUGUAUAACACAUGGGAUUACCGGUGUCCCCACAACCAAGGUCGAGCGUGAGGCGGAAGCUGUCCAUGAUGGCAUCGACGCAGCCAAGCACCAGGCACGGUCCGCCACAGAACGCCUCCACCGCCGCCGCCUCCGAUGGCACACGCAGUGCGCCCUCCGGGCCCAACCUGUACUAUCCCUGGCAGCCGCUGUAGAUCUUCACCCGGCCACCAAUGCAGAUUGCAGAACGUCAGAAACAGAGUCCGUUUUCUGCUCGAACUCUUUUUUUCUUCUUUUUUUUGGCUGAAAUUGUUUCAAUUACUGCUCAAGUUUGAUUACGAACUGUCGAACUGUCAAUGAUGUGCUUACACAUCGAUCGCUGAAGCAGAUGAUUGGCCUUGGCAACGAUGUCUUCAGUGCUUCUUUUUUGACCAUGAAACUAUGGAAGGUUGUUGCUGCCUCGUCUGCAACGACGAUGGCGACAUGCACCCAGAUGGGGCUAGUGAGCAGCACGAUGGGCAGAGCACGACGACGGUGCUGGUGAGCGUGAGCCUGGUCGGGAGCAGGAGGACGGUGAGCGUGAGGAAGCCAACGACCUGGGUGGAGUUGGAAGCCAACGACCUGGGUGGAGUUGGGCCGGGCGCGUGCGUUUGCACCCGCCAGAGCAGUGUCGUAGACGACGAGUCCGCCGCCGCGGGAGCUUACCCAUGGCGCUGUGUCGGAUGUGCGCGUGCUGCUGCCGAUCUACCAUUCUCGCGGAGUCGCGGUCGACCUAGGAGGAUGGGACCAUCGCCGCCGCCACCUCUUCUCUUCCCCCAUCUCCCACCAUCCACCUCAUUUACAUGUAGGCCUCAUAAUCUUUUUGUUUUUUUAUUUUGCUGACUCAACGAAAACAGAGACCCAAAUUAUACGGUUUUAUUAUAUAAUAAGGCAAAAUUGGUUAUAUAGUAUCGAAAGUUCACGUUUUUUGAUUUAUAGCACCGAAAGAUACCGGUUCACUUUAAUAGCACCCAAAGUUCACCCCGUUCCCAUUUUUAACACUUCCGUCAAUUCUCGAUCGUUUUCCGUCCGUCUUAUCCUAGCCAGGCACACGAUAUGGCGUUUCUACCCUCAUUGACAUGCAUUCUACUUGUACUUGUGACGGGUAUAUAAUUAAGGGGUAAAGAUUUCUAAUAUUAGAUUAGGGAUGUUAUACAAAGUCGGCAUAAAGUCAUUCCUUUUCUGGACUGUGGCUUGUGGGCCACAAAAGUAGCAAGGUCUACUACAACCAACAAAACGAGAUUCUGAACAGGCCCGUGACAAGAGCGAUGGGCGACACGUGGGUACCGUACGGUCAAGAAAAACUGCUGAAACCUACUACAUCCGUCCCAAAAUAAGUGCAGCCGUGGAUAUCCGUGCCGAACGUUUAACCGUCCGUCUUAUUUAAAAAAUUUGUAAAAAAAAUUGAAAAUAUUUAGUCACACAUAAAGUACUAUUCAUGUUUUAUCAUCUAAUGCGAUAAAAAUACUAAUCAUAAAAAAAAUUUAAAUAAGAUGAACGGUCAAACGUUGAACGUAAAUAGUGCAAAACUACACUUAUUUUGGGACGGUGGGAGUAUAAGAGAAAUCAGUUGUUUGUCAACUAGAGUCCCUUAAAAAAAAUUACUCAAAUUAAAUCUUAAAAUUAGACAUGAACAAAUUUAUGUAUCUCACUAUAGUUUUAAAGUUUGAACUACAUAUUUUUUGUAAUCGGACCAACUAUACUAUAUGAAAAAAAAAAUUGCUUUAUUUCAGAGUUCAGGCGCGUUCAGACGCAUCGUCCAAUUCUAGUUACUGUCUCCAUGGCACCACCCCCAUAAUAUAAUGAGAAGAGAUUAAGGAGCCAUGGAGAAGGGGUGGAGGGUACUUGGAUUAAGACAAUAAAAGAGAGAUGAUUAAUCAAACAAGUAUACUAUAAACUAUUGUACUAUUUUGCGAGGAAGAAUUUAAAAUUUAAAUCAUUCACUUCCUUAUAGUAUUUUGGAAACAUUGGUUGUCCUAAUACUGGCUUAAUUAGGAAAAAAAUAUGAUAAACUUCUAGUUACGUACUUAGCGAUUUAAAAGCCAAAUGCUGAAAAACAAACUUUGUUCAAAAAAAAAGGAAUCAGGUUUCAAAAUUCAAAAUUUUGGCAACGCGGCAAAAGAUGGAAAAGCCUUCAACAGCAUCACAGCAUCAACACCAACAUGGAUCGGAUGGCACCACAGGAUGAUCUGCAGCUGCUCUGCUUUACGAUGAUGCACCUUCGAACGACUGCGAGAGGUGCUUUACAUUCCAUCCCACAGGUCGCUAUUAGGUGUGCAAGGGUAACGGAAAUAGGUUGAUACGAUUGCAUAUGUGUGUAAACUGUGAUCGAGCAUAUGGUGUGCAAGGGUAUGAUAAAUACAGGAGUUUGCAUACGUUUUUACAGGCAAUGUCUGAUAAGCUAUUUGCAAUCUAGCAGUUCGAAGUGCUUCAAAUACGAUUAGGAAGGUGGCCUUUGAAGGGGGGCCUCCUGCUUUGGACGCCUGCAUGUAAAGAAAAAUCUAUAUUAGGUUAGCAUUGCCUGUUGAUCAGAGGAUGAGCAACUCCCAAUCAAAAUGGUAUCACCCAAAAUCAUUUUGACAGUUUUAACCAGAUGUAAAUGGACACUCUUUUAGAGCUUUGUAAUGCCAAGGGAAUAUAAGAAUUAUGUAGGAUAGUGCUAAUCCAACAUUAUUACUAUAUUGUUACAACAGGAGGUGAGAUAUAAAUAGUCCUUUGCUAAGGAAACAGGAGGUUGGGCCAGAAAUUGAAGUAUAUGAAAAAGAAGGUUGAUUUGUUGGUCAUGGGUUUUAAACGCAGCCAAGUACAGUAUCUGGCAAUCUUGGAACUUACAGAUUUGCUAAGAAUAUUGUGUAUAAAUACUGUUCCUCAACAACUAUAUUACCUCGCAGAGCAAGAAGGCUCAAGCCCUGGCACAUCUGGUGGACCAAUUGGAUUAUAAUGACCACUCGGUGGAGCACUCCUAUUUUCAAAUAUUAAAGUCCAUUCAUAAGUAAAAAUGACCUCAUGUGUACUAAAAUGACAAGAUAAUAAAAAGAAAAAGUGGAUUACCCUGUGCCACUUAAGGGUACAUGCAAGGGAUUAGAAGGAAAGAAGCUUGGAUCAUUUGGAUCUGUUGUAUAAAUAAGUGGUAAAACAAGACUGUAGAGAUGCAGAAACAUAAAAAGAAAUAUUUUUGAGAGUUCCAUGGGUGUCAUAUUACCAACAUGCUGGCUGCUGCCACCACCAAUACCACUGCAUACAAAAACAGAAACUAUUAACUAUGUGAGUAUGAUUUACCUAUACUUUAGGUGAUUGGAGACGAACCUGUGAGGAUCGGGGAAGGCAUCAUCGUGACCUGUUGGAGUUAUAGCAGGAAAAUCUAUGCCGUAACUGUGUAACACAACAGAAAUCACAAGAAAGAUCACAUCAUAUAACUAUGUUUAGAGUAACUAAUGAACUAAUAUCAUGAACCACUCUAAUUACUCUAAUGAACUACUAACUAUGUUAGAUUAAAUGUACAUACACAGCACUACAAUUAUCAGGUGCAUAUUGCACCUUUUUUUUACAUAUGACUAGUGCUUGGAAUGAACCUUCAUAUCCAGCGCACAUCGUCACAUAUGUAUCAGUAAGUCACUAAUGAAUCACAAAGUUUCAUGAAUGCACUGAACAGACAAGUUCAUAUAUAAGGACCAAGCAAAGGCUUCAUUCAGUGAAAACUGGAAAUAAGCUUAUAGUUGCCAGUGAAACCUGGAAAGUAACCUUAUAGUUGUUUUAAGUACAUAUUAUCUCUACUGGCUAGGCCUCAACAUGUUGAUGCCGAGCUGACAUAUGAACACUAAACACUUUAUUUAAUAUGCACGAGUGUAUUGUUCUCUUGUUAUUUCCUUGUUUAUGUAGGCGACAAUGUUAGUUCAGUAUCACAGUAAUAACAAGAAAUACAAGACAUGAAAGAGUAGUAUGGCCUUAAAAUGACUGCAUUAAAUUUUGAUGGCUCAUAAAAAACAUUAAAGAUAAUUUCAGUAAUAAUCACAGAUAAAAUCCAUCACAAUCAUUGGCUCAUUGCUACCUUCGAAUGGCAUUCUGUUCACAAAAGACUCGAGCAUUCAUUAUUUGUAGUCUUUACCUCACAUAUAGCAUUGCACUAAUGCUUUGCCAACUUAUCCAAAAUAGUCUAAGAAAAUGACACAGCUAGCGGCAACAUCAAAAUGAAUCACCCAACUUGUGGCUACUGCAGCAAAUCUAUUCCAGAAAACAAAGGAUUUACUGUGCCAUUUCAUUCCUAUCUUUAUGACCUACUGUUCCAGUGUUCUUCAGAGGUUAAUCCAUGGGUGUACAUGUCAUUAAUGAUUGAGCAAGAGCGGAAAUAAUAUAGUGAGGGCCCGUUUGGCAGGGAUCCAACUCUUAAAUUUAACUCAGAGUUGGGUUUGGAGUAUAGUUGCGGAGCAGCCUGAACCCCACUCCAACUCCAACUCUCUAGUUCAUUUUGUGAGAGCACUCCAGCAACUUCACUCCCUUUUUGGGUGGAGCUGAAACUGUUAGGUUGGGCUCCAGCUCUAGGAGAGGUGGAGGUGGAGCUCUGCCAAACUGCCCCUUAAGUUUGAUAACAGGUUGUGUAAAGGUAGAGAGAAGAAAGCGCAAGCCCAACAAUGAAGAAUAUACACAAAGAAAGCAAAAGGAGAAAUGAGUUUAGCCUUAAGGUCAUACCGUUCAGUAGUUUUGAGGUCUUGAUUUUCAUAGCUGGAACACAAGCGCCUUAUGUUAGAAAAACUUUUGGAGAAUACCAGUUAAUGAACGUAAUUAAAGUUUUUUCUUACUUGAGAAGCUUCGACUUUCAAUUACAUGUUUCACAAGUAUUUUCCUUAACUAGCAGAAUAUUUAGAUUUGAACAACUAAAAGAAAUAUAUUGAUGAUGUUAGAUCAAUGGAACAUAUCCUGUGCACAUAAGAUUUCCGUAUACACACCGUGCACACCAACUAACAAAUUAGACCAAAAAUCCUAGAAAACAUUGUACAUAUGUAUUUCCAUUAGUGUUACACUUAUAUGUAAAGUCUUAACUUUAAAUUCAAUACAUUUUAGACGUAACAAAUAAGAUAAAAACUCUGACAGUUUUAAGAGUAAAUCUGCCAGAAUUGUCUUUUUUGUUACCCCCUAUAUAUAAUGAAUUUGAAGUUGAGAUUUUACACAUAUAUAUAAUACGACUUAAAGUUCAUGUACAUUUUUUUCCAGAAUUUUUGUGAUAUUUGUUAGUUGGUGUGUACACGAAAAAGCCUUGUGUGCAUAGGAUGUGUUCCCUUAGAUCAGCACCAGUCUACCAUUUUAUUAUUUUUAAGACCAAAGCACAAUAGUGUGUAGAGUAGUCUAGUAGUAUUGAAUACGUACCUUUUAGGGAACUCAAGGAGUUCAUAGUUCUCCAAUAUUUCAUCAAUCCUGCAGAACAAAUAAUGCAAAUAUAACAGAGAGCAAGGCAGUUCUUUUUUGAAAUCAAACAAUUGAGAAGAAGAAAAAUACCUACCAUCCCAAAACUCUAUCAUAGAUAUCCUUGUCAUACAUGUGGUGGUAAUCAUCUUUAUGCAAUAUUAGACAUUCCACCAUUGCAGGUAAAAUUUCAUCCAAGGAAUUUGAAUUUACCAGUUCCAAAUCAGACAGCCGCAAGAAUUGUUGUUUGCCCAUAUUGUCCUUCAAAUGAAAUCACUUUUUAGUUAAGAGUGUUUAUAGCAGCACUUACGAUACCAUGAUAGAAGUUAAUCAAAUGGUACACUACAGCAAAAACUAUCAUAUGCAUGUGCAUUGAUAAAUACAACAAAAAAGAAAAUCAGAGAUUAAAACUCACUUUUGAGCCUUUCCAACCAUGAUGACGAACAUGGCGUAAGUAAACCAUGCCAUCUUCCACUGAAUUCUCAAAGGGUUCAUACUCUUCACGUUGUUCAGGGCAUUCUUCAUUUCCACCAUCAUUCCCAACAUAGCCUCCAAGUUCAUGACCUUCCUUUUCUGCAUUCUCAUCUCCUUGUUCAUUGGAUUCACUUUUUUCCAUCUUAGCUCUGUGGUGUUCAUAUACAACAGUAUGAAUUGGGGAGACAGAGGAUACACUACCAUCCUGCUUUUGACAUCGGACUCUCCAGUCUUGUCGAAGUGUCACAGAGUUCAGAAUUGAUUGAAGUAAUCUCUUCACUUGGCCAGUUGUUGCUUGAUGGGCUGAAUAAAUAUUAUCAAUUAUUUGUAAUCUUGUCAAGGACGACUUCAGUGCAGGAUGGAUGGUGAUAAAUCUUUGAAACUUUCUUAGCAUCGCACUGCCGUACCUCAGAUGAUCAAUGUAAUUUCUAAGUGACUUGUCAAGAUGCCUAAAAAGGCCUGGCCAUUUACCACCUACCUCAUACUCUGGAAGAACGUCAGUAGCAACUCUAAGAAAAUCAUGUGCCUCUGUUUUACAUGCCGCUUGAUAAGUACAUGGCAAAUCGAUCUUAACAUCCAACGAGUCACUGACCAUAACAUGAUCCAAAUCCCAAUGGCCAUUCCAAGAUCUACCUCCCUUAUGAGACCUUGUUAUCAUUGUCAACAGAUUGGUUAAAAUGAUUCUCCCAAUCUGGGUGGUAUCUAUCACUGGCAGGAAAAAACCAUCACAUCUAAUAUGGCGGGGCUUGGUCAGAUGAUACCCACGUAGCUUCAGAAAUGUCCUCAACGGAAUCCAUCUGCAAAUAUAGUACUCUAUUAUUUAUUCCUAAUAAUGUUAACAUCAAGCCAUUGUUAUUGACCAAAUUUAAAUGGACUCAAGUAAAAUACCUAUCCGGUUUGGGCAUGUCACAUAUGCAUAUUACUGGAUUUUCACAAUGAAAACCUGGUAAGUUCAAAUCAUGAAUAAAUGUGCGCACAGCAUUUUCAAGAUUCUUCUGAAUCCUGCAAAAAAUAUAGAAAUUAAGACACUGACUCUCAUAUGAAGAUGAUCUAGGACAAGAAAGUCACCUUGGGUAGCAUUGGCACAAGUCAUGUGCGAGUUCAGGAGCAUAACUCCAAAUAUGAUCGAAAUGUAUGUGCAUCUCAGGAGAGCUCAGGGUCUUCAUAGAAUCAACAAUUGCUCCAUAAUAUGGUAUAUUGUUCCGCUCGAAGCUGAUUAAAAAACAGAUCAGAUGCUGCUUUGAUUUCAUAAGCCAUAAAACAUAUUUCCUAAGAAUGAUAGAUUUUUACCUUCUUAAAAAGUCGAGGAACAUGUGUUCCAGCUUUUGGUCUUUUCCACUCAUGAAAUAAGACGCAAAAUCUGCUCUCACUGUUCCAGGAGAGGGAGGCCUGGUUUCUAGCUGCGCAUUGGUGGGUGAUGGCCUUGGCUUAACACUGGAGCUGCUACCAUGUUCUCCUGCCAUACGGGAAUGCCGUACUGGAGGAGGACCUUGGCUUGACUCAAGUGACGAGCUUACGCUCUAGAACAGAGAAAAAAAAUGAUGAAGGCAUUUUGCUAGAUCAAAUCAACUAGAUGAAUAUAUUACAUGGUUAUAGCAAUAUGAGUGUUUACAGGUAACAUCAAAAAGACCGUGACAAUAGAAGUGGCUUUGAACACAGUAGAUUUGCCACUAAAAUCCUACAAUCAAAGGAAUGCAUAUUUCUAGCAACAUGCUGAAGUAACAUGGCAAUUCUACAUUUAGAACAACAAUGUGCUAAGCAUGGGAUAGCAGUUAACAUUUAAGGCAACAAAAACGUACAUGAUGCUGGGUUUGCCUGGCACUGUGAGGCUUCUUCUUAAAGCUUUGCUUAGCACCUUCAAAAUAAUUGCCACUUUUCAACACAGAAUGUUGGUCCCUUGAGAUUGUGAUAUCAUGAACCAACACACCGCUUUCACCAGGCUAAUUAUUUUUAAACAAAAAAGGUCAGUAAUUAAAAAAAUGCACUGCUUAAUCAAAGAAAGUGGCAGAAUUACUAAGGGCUUACAGAAUCAACAGAUCGCCAAAUAUUUUGGUAGUUCCGGAAGCCCACAUCUGAUUCCAGAACAAAAAAUCUUCCAUGGUACUGAAAAGAAGAAAAUAGAAUGAAAACUAGCAUACCAAGUUUAUUUAAAAAAAGGCAGGUAUCACAACUCGUAAAUUACAAUACCUUGUAUACAACGUUGAAGUGCUCGUUUUGAAAGAAAAUGAACAACUUCCUAUCAGGAGUUGCUGCUUUCAAAGUGUGUAAACUGUGAUUUUAAAAAAAAAUGUCAAUAGAAGAAACAAAAUGACAAUUGUAUUUACCUAUAGCUAGCAUGCAUACCCAAACUCUGUGACUUGUCCAGGAUUAUCUUUCAAGAACGUGUGAAUCAACUCAUCUACAAAUAAACAAUUUAAAAACAGAGCAUUAGCGAUCAAAGAAAGAAACAUAUUUGCAUCCGUAAAUAGUUGACAGGUGAAAAAUGUAAGAUCGUUACAUCUUCUAGUUUCAGCAGCAUCUAUCAUAAAAUCAGCAUCUUUCUUUGAGUUGUAUUUAGCCCUAUCGAUAUUCAGCUGAUUGUAUGAACGUCCAUCAACUGCAUUCAAUAAAAUGGUGUCUUCCUGUUCACAAACAUACCACAGAAGAAAAAAUUAGGAAAAACCCAAGAAAAAAAAUAUUAACAUGACUACAACACUAAAUUAAUCCAUGUAAUAAGUAGCCAUGGUUCAAUCAUACUAAAAGACAUCUCCCAGUAGCAUACCUGAUUGUUCAUGUCUAGUACCCAGGCAUGAUAUAAAGGGAUAUCCAGGAUUCUAAAAAGCCCAUACUGAGGGGUGUCCUCAAACCCGUCGACACUGCGCAUACCAAUUACACAUCAAAAUAUACAAAUGGAGGCUAUAUUAUUGCUUAAGAACUCGCUUAACCACAAACCUUGUGCAAUAAAUAUCAAUAUCUAGUCCUGUAGCCGUUUGUUCCACCGUUGCCUGUGCAGUUUUAUAGCUGUCAUCCUACACAUUGCAAUGUGAUUAAUAAUCUUCAAUUAAAAAAAUGGAAUAUAUUGUUUUGAUAAGUGGAUCAGAUCGAACCUUCAUUUUGCUGAAAACUUGACUAAACACACGGUCAACUAAAUAAUCAAGGUAAACAAUUGUCAUGGAUGGUGGCAAGGAGAGUUUCCUGGUAAGGAUUAGAUAAUUGCCUGCAAAACAGAGUAGUUAAGCUACAUGGGACAGUUUAUCAGCGGGUAUAGUAUAAACAACAAACAAAAUCUCACAUAUGGCUAUCAAGGAGCAGGGUCCAUUCUUGGACUGGAGGAUGAUCUUAUACCCCCGGCCCAGAAAGGAUAUGAGUUUUGUUUCACAAAAAUCUCUGGGCACACGAGGCACUUGCGGUGGAGGCAAAGUGCUCUCCCCUCCUUCAUCCUUCUGUACACACUCCUCUUCGGUCUCCUCCUCCUCGCCCUCCUCGUCCUCCUCAUCACCCUCCUCUGCGGAGUCACCAGCGGUCUCCUCCUCCUCGCCCUCCUCGUCCUCCUCAUCACCCUCCUCUGCGGAGUCACCAGCGGUAGAGAAGGCCAGCGAGCGGUCAACCUCGAAGAGCUGCGAAGCUAGCCGGCCGAACAACUGCGGGCCGGCCAACAUCCGGCUGACGGACACCUGACCGAUCGGCUUGAAGGCCUGACCGGUGCUCAGCCUCUGACCUAUGUCGCGGAAGGGAGUGAUCAGAAGCCGCGGCGGUACCCGCUGCCGACCGGGCGGAGGAUCUCCCCGCGGUGGAACCUGCCGCUGCCGACCGGGCGGAGGAUCUCCCCGCGGUGGAACCUGCCCCUGCCGAUCGGGCGGAGGAUCUCGCCGCGGAUAGUUGGAUCCCAUCGUAGAGAAGGUCUUCUAGGGGAGCGGUGGGAACUGAGGCUCCACCCUCGCCGUCAACCUCGACGCAAGCGCGCGCCGACGCUCCCCCGUCCGACCGAGCGGAGGACCUCGCCGCGACCGAUCUUGGCGGCGGAUCUCGCGGAUGUUUUUUUUUUCUUUUUCUUUUUUUUCGAGAGGAACUCGCAUGAACCCUAAACCCUAGGAGGCGGCGGCGGCGGCGGCGUUUGGUUUGAAUGGUGGAGUUGGCUCGAGUGGAAUGGCAUGACCUAGUAGGGUAGUAGGUGCGAGGAGGCGACUGCAGUCUACUGAAGUCGGCCUGUGGGCUGUGGUCCGAACGGACCAAGACGGCCCGCGUCUUGGACUACGGAGUGUUCAGUUGCGCUGCAAGUUUUACAGGAUUUUUUUAUUAUUGUUUUUCUAAAGAUUUAUAAAAACUACUCUAAUAUAAAUUAUCGUUCCAAAGUUUUGCAAAAAUACUCUCCUUCGGCAUAUAAAUCACCCUACAAUAAGACCAUCUAUGUGACGUGGCACCCCGUAGAAGGGGCACAUCGCGACAAUUUUGCAGGCCUCCCGUUGGGCGAUUUAUCGUCGGGAGGGGCCACCUGCAAAAUUGUGAAACUUUGAAAUGAUUUUUUUUACAAUAGGGUGGGAGGAGUAUAUUUCUAUAAAACUUCAAAAUGAAAUAAAUAUAAAUAUUAAAAAAAUGUUUUACAAAGAGUAAAUUUUACCUAGCCUCAUGUAUUAUUAUACUUUAAGUUACACAAGACCACACUAUUGAUCAUUUCGACUUUUAUUUAUCACAGUUUUGAAUUCUACAAUAACAUCUCAAAUUUAUGUGUUCUUUAUUCAUCAUAUAAAUGAUCUACAUCCAUGUAACUAUAGCCUUUUAAAAUUUUGAUAUGUGAAUAUGUCAAACUGAUUAGUGACGUGGUUUUAUGGAACUUGGACCAUUAAUAUCUUAAGUUAUAUGUCACGUGCCAAAUUUUAUGUGGUUUUGUGCAACUUUGACCAUUAUAGGUGAGGCUUUGUAAAAUUUACUCUUUUACAAUCUAGCCUUCUAAGAAAAACUUACUCCGUAUUUCAUGAAAAUACCAUUAGCAAGACUUAUUUCUGGAAAUGUGUUGAUACCUCGGUGCCAACGUUGGUAUCUUUUACAUUAGAUGAUACCCCACACGCUGCUACGGGUUUAUUAUAAUAAUUUAAAAUACACAUAUUAGUAUGAUCUAUUAAAAUACUAAGCUGCAUAAAUGUUAUAAUUUGAACACAAAAGCGGUAGGAACACGCUGCUACGGGUUUAUUAUAACAACUAGUUGGGUGCCCGCGCAAUUGCGCGGCUAGCACCCAUACAAAAGUAAAUAUUUUUAUAUGAUUUUACUUAAAAUUUAUUAAAUAUUUGUCUCGUUGUCUUAAGACUUUGAAAGACCAAACCUUAUCAUCCAUGUGUUUCUAAUUUUAUAAUUUUUAAAAGUCACACCAGUUGCUACCCCUUACUUCUGUCAUAUCAUUUUUUAUUUGCUUGCUUGAUCUACCAUUAUUUAUAUUUCUUUCUCCUUGAAACCUUUACAAAUUGGAUCUUAUAGCUUUUAGAGUUUAUUGUCCAGUUGGGUCCUCUAUGGUCCGCCCGCUACCCCUUAUUUUUAUUGCCAAUAGGAUUUUAACAAUCAAACAAAAUUAUUAUUGGGGUUCUUUUUCUUUACUUUCUAGAAGUUCGGUCAAACAGUCAUCAGCUCCACCACUGUGAUCCUCUAUGGCCCACCCGCUAACUCCCCUCGAUUUUAAAAAUCGAACGUAAUUAUCAUUGGGGUUUACUUUUUUACUUUUUAAAAGUCCAGCCAACUGUAGUGACCGUGCUAUUUAAGUAUUUAACGGCAUGCUCGUCGUCCCUCAUCUUAAUUGUCAUUGGAUUUCUAUUUGAGAUUUUGUUUAUAGUUUUUAUAUGUCUCAUCAUGCAUCAUCACCCUACUCCUCUAUUAACUUAUUGUUUUUCCCUCUUUAUUAUCAUUUAUCAUUGUUGUGUUCUAUAUGGACCUUUUUUUUAAAGAAAAAUCAUAUUUUUCAUUCCGAUGUUCUGUUAUUUAUAAAUUUUAUUCAUACUUGCACUCUUAUAUAAUUAUUUUAUAUUUUCAAAUUUUAUUUUAUUUUUAUUUUGAUUUUUAAUUUAUCUCGUGAUGGGUUCUAGAUGAUCUUUUCUUUCAACAAUCUUUUCUUUAAUUUCGAAUUUUAGUUAUUUAUAAAUUAUAUUCCUAUUUGUACUCUUCUUUUUCUUUUUUAAUUGUGAAAUUUAUUUUAUUUUCUAUUAAUCUCAUACUGUGUCUAUAUGAAUUAUUCUUCUAAUAUUUUUUAUUUUUUAUUCCUAAUUUCAGUUGUUUGUAAAACGUAUUUUUACUUGAACUCUUUUAUUUGAUUUUUCUAAUUUCUAAAUUUAUUUUAUUUUUUAUUAUGGAUUUUAAUUAAUCUUUAAUUGUGUUCGGCAUGAACUCUUCUUUCAUUUUUUAUUGUGUUAUUUCAAAAUCAAAUAAAAAAUCCGUGCACAUGCCGUCAUGCUUUUCUGGUUGCUGACGUGCAUCACCCAAAUCCGGCUCAUUGUGCAGCCGCACGGCUUGACCCGCUGCUUCGGAUUUCCGUCGCUCGUUGCUAGCAUCUAUCUUCAUAUCAACAAAAACGCAUCCAAAUUACGGUUCUACAGUGGUUCGUUGUCUGCUACUUCAUUAAUAUAUAUAUAUGUAUUAUAGCCUAAUUUGUCUAGAACCUAACUCUGGUUAAUUGGUUUAGGAAAUCGGACAAAACUCUUUUGAGACCGUUUGCAUGUAAAGGUCCUAGCUAGAGAUUGAUUCUAAUUCUGCACGCGUAUAAUAAGAUAGAUAGAUUGAUAGAUUUCAAAUACACAUAUUGAACACGCUGCUACGGGUUUAGUAUAUAUGAACGAUCUUCUUGGCAAAGAUGAUCGUUUUGAUUGGAGGAUGACGUAAGAUAUAAUGUACAUAGCUGAAGAUAUAAAUGUCAACUGUUCAUAGGACGAUGGUGUAAAAGGAGACAACCUGGACGAAAGCAACAAGCAAAAAACUUCAAAGAAAUUAUACCGCUUGCUCAAAUGUGUUCACUCUUUUAUUUUUCUUCGGUGGAUAUCCUUACUGACACGUGUGAAUAAUUAUAUGAACUGUUCAAAGGAGAGGAUGGUGUAAAAUGAGGCAAACCUGGAUAUGAAAACGACAAACAAAAGUUAGAGGUAGCCGUCUGAAUGUGCUAGCUCUUUAUUGUUCUUUCGUGGAACUCCUCGCUUUUACCUAUUUACGAUAAAUCUGAUGAUGUUUUGAGUGGGAGGGACAAUGGAAGGAACCAGAACUCCUUUUCCGGGUCGGCCAAAUAUUGGCAGGCCAAUCUCAUUAUGAUUGGAGGAAAUAAAGUUUUAAUUAUAACUAUAUGAAGGAUAUCGCGCUGGUCUCAAACAAACUUAAAGACGGUAAGGAAAUAGAAAACAAUGUGGCAAGCCCCGCCUCUGAUUGGGAUUACUCGCCAGGCUGGGAAAAGAUCCCUGCUGCCCUCCAAACUACGAUUUCCUUAUUGAUGCCGUUUGCUAGCAAAUCAACCGACUUGGCGAUGUGCUGAAAGAUCCUAACAUUCCGCUCUCUCCAAAUAAGCCAACAAAUGAGCAUGAACAAACUAUCGAAAUCUGUCCUGUAGCCGUUCUGAAAAUGCCGUCUUGUCGCGAUCCAAGUGGCCUGCCAUCCUCCGCAGGAAUUGCAAUGUUAAUGUUGCACCAAAGUCUUAGCUUACACCAGAAACCAGAAAAUUGGGCUGCUAGCUUAGCUCAAUUUUGUUUACUCUUUUAUGUUACUCAUGGAACUGCUCACUAACGCUCAAUUUUAUGUUAGCAUGUUAGCUGUAAAUAAGUUCUUAACUACCUCUAAUGAGUAUGAUGAAAAAAUACUAUUGCUGAGUAAUUUUCAUCCAACAACAUAGCAUAGCAUGUGCGUUGAGGAAUGAGGUGGUAAUGGAUAAUCCCAUCCCAUUCCUCAAACCAAACAACUCAUCAAGAAUCAAGUGAUGAAUUAAAUUCAUUAUCUCACUCAAACUAAAUGCUAGGCCGACAUUCCAAAAAAAUGACUUUUGUGUUGAACUCAAAGCAAACAAUCACUGGCAAUGUGCCCAAAUACUCGACAAUUGCCGAGUACACAGCGGAUGCAAAGGUAAGUCAAGAUACAUAAAUAACUCACAUUGCAUCUCCUUGAAUCUCCUUCUUCCUGACAUCAAGGGCGAUCAUCACUCCUCCCAUAUCACAAUCCCUGUUGGCAGAAUUGCACAAGAGGUAAACAACAUCGUCGUCGUCGAUGCUCAAGGCGGGGUAAGACAUAGCCAGGCAUCCUAGGGACAAGCUGGACCCUUUGGCUUCCUCAUCAUCGCUGGUGCUGAGCAUGAGCUUAUUCAGCAACCCAUGAUGGGCUGUGUUGUCGACGACAUGGAAAUCAUGCAAGUUAGCUGUGCAGUCAGGGCGCCAGUCCUCCCAUGAAGUGACCGGGAUAGGCAUGGUCCAUGUAGUGAGCCACUGGCCAGGCCGCCGGACGGAGGAGCGCUGCCGUGUCGUCGGCUGAGGCUGAGGUUCUCUGCUCCGGCGAACCCAUUCGAGGAACGAAUCAGGAGGAUCAUCUGCAGGCAUGGUGCGAUCACCGGAGGAUAUUAUGGUUUUGGUCACAACUCUUGGCAUGGUGAUUUCCAUCUCGACGUACUUGAUGAAGUCCUUGUGUUGGCUGACGGUGAUGUCCCGAUAGAAGGACUCGCUGUCACUGAGGUAUCUUGUCCAGUUGCCCUUGGCCGGCCAUGGCAGCGGCAUGUCGCGGAGCUUUGGGGGAGACAUUUCGUCGAGCAGGUCGCAGAGGAGGAUGCCACGCCAGAGAUCGACCCAGCCGACGGUGCCCUUCGCGCCUCCGAGCACGAUGGUCUUGGUGGUGAUGUGGUACACGGGCCUCUCAUCUGAGUCAGGGAUCGGGCACACCCUGUCCCUCACCGCCUCCUCCACAAACACCUCCUCGCACGUCCAAUUUCCGGCGAUCUCAUCACCAUCGCCACCACCAGAAGAAGAUUUGUACCGGUGCAGCGCGAAUUGACUGGGCAGGUUGAUCAUCUCGAGGGCGGCAACGACGUACUGCUGCUUGUCGCCGCAGAUGCUAACGAUGGCGAAAUCGUCGUCGCGUAAGCAAUAUUGCUGGCACGGCCUGGGGAGCAGAUCUAGCCUGGCGGGUUGAUGGUGAUGGUAGACGAAGUAGUCGUCCUGACGGAAGAGACUCUUGCCGCCGGGCACGGGGUUGACGGGGACUCUGAGGAGGAGCAAGCCGUCGGCGACGGCGAUGACUUUGGGCGCCAGGAGCAGAUCGCCAUGGGCGGCGGGCGGCAGAUCGGAGCCGUGGGCGGAGAAGUGGGAGAGCGCGGGAGGGGCCUCGUUCCAGAAUGUCAUCUCGAUGGGACGCCCGUUGCUUGUUCUGGAGGUGGCCGUGCUGCCUCCCUCCUUCUCGCGGUGGCCGCUGUCGUAGCCUCGGACGCCCACCAGGACGGUGCCGCCUUCACCGGCGCCGGCGCCGGCCAUGGCGUUCGAUCGAUCCAUCCAAAAUAUUCCAGGCCAAUCUCCGAGAAAGGGUACGUAGAAGGGCUCGACGACGCAUUAUGCUGGGCUGUAUUUGGGCCCAAUUGAACCAAUCCACUAAGGCCCAGUGGCCCACAGUAGAAGAGAGGAUAUGCCAACUUGCCAAGACCAGCUCCAAGUUGUAAUAACAUAUAGACAAAAUGCUGAUCAAGUCCACCAAGUCUGUUGUUUAUUACUGUUCAAACAAAAUGUCGUUCAUUACUUUUUCUGUUCUAAAAUGUUGCUACAUGAUACAUGAUUGCGCGUCACUUUCUAAUACAACAAAUCUGUAUAAGUGCAUGUGCAAUCGUGUAUAGAGUUAGUAUUAUUAGAAAAAUAGAGAAUAAAACAUCAACCCUUAUUAUACUGAGAGUAAAGUUUAAAAAUCAAUCAAUUGGACAAUAGUUAAUUAUUUUGUUUACCAGUUGAAUCACCAGCUUGUAGGGAACAAUUCGUUGAACAAAUCAACCCACCCAAAUCAAACGAACAAAGUCUCUAAAUUUUCUCCGGAAAAAAACAAAACCAUCAAGCUCAAAAAAUAAUAAUACAAUAAUGGAAGACGACGAGGAGGACGGCGAGAGUCAACCCCCACGCCGGCCAUUGGCUCCGCCCCGCGCCGCUGGCGGCCGGCGGAUGCAAGGGGACGCCGCUGGGCGGCGGGCUCCCUCGCCGCCGCCGCCGCCACCGGCGGCGGCGGCGGCGACUUUGACGGCGAGCCUCAUCCCUCCGAGGCAGUGGCCGGGGAAGUCGCAGAUGAACCAGUAGGUGGCGUUAGGCUCCGUGAGCUGCACCCUGUCGUAGCCGGUGUCGUAGCUCUUGAUCACGCCGGCGACGCCGCCGCCGCCGGUGUCGCACGACCGGUAGGUGGCCUCCGUCACCUGGAGCACGUUGUGCUGGCUCCUCACGUACUGGAACACUGGCGCAAACACAAACAUUAGUAGCUAGUAGGAUAUAUAUCGUCGUCAAAAUCCAAUCCAAAUCCAAGAAACGAAUUGAUCGAAACCUAGGAUGUCGCCGGCGAGGAAGGCGUGCUUGUCGGACCAGGUGGCGUAGUUGGUGCCGGUGUCCCAGGGGCCAUCGCCGACGGUGUACUCGGCCGCGGUGGCGGAUCGGAGGAGCAGAGAGAGGAGGAGCAGGGCGACGAGCUGCAGCGGCGGCGACGGUGGCAUCCUGUCGAACAGAGGCGAGGGUGCAGGGCAGAGAUGGAGAAGAGAUUAAUCACUGGAAUUAAUAUGGUUCAGUGGACAUAUAUUAGCUUGUUUGUUACGACUAGCUUAAUUAGCUUUGUGGUGGAUGUUAUUGUGUUGUGAUUGAAGUUUUGGAAAGCUAAUUAAAGAAGGUUGCUGAUGGCGACCGGCACAGCAAUAUGCAUGCGUGCGCGGAAAAGGUAGAUUUUUUUUUCUUUUUGACCAAGUCAAGCUUAUAUAUGUCAUCAAUGAUUAGAGCAAUGUCAAUGAUAUAGCAGGGUACUUAGCGGCAAUAUUUGGUUAUUUCACAUAUACUCCCUCCAUCAAAAAAAAACCCAGAGUCCAGGUUUAAACCUAGAAUUGGGUUUUUUUUUUACGGAGGGAGUAGCCACUAAGAGAGAAAGUAUAUGCAGUAAAUUAGCUGUUACAUUAGCUAUAUGAAAUAGAAAAUCAAUUAAUUCAUGCAUAGGUAUCAAGCUCAUCCUUGUAGCUACCUAUGUUAUAUGCAAUUAUAUAAGCUGUGGUGAUUUUAUUUGCAGAAUACACCAUUGAUGAUGGAUAAGGUUUUUGUUUUUUUGAACAAUCAGUGGUAUGAUUUAUUGAUUAAAGUAGGAAAUAAUUACGAGGAUAGAGUCUUCAAAGGCAAUACUUCGUCCGUUUCACAAUGUAAGUCAUUCUAGCAUUUCCCACAUUCAUAUCGAUGUCAACGAAUCUAGAUAGAUAUAUAUGUCUAGAUUCAGUAACAUGCAUAUUAAUGUGGAAAAUGUUAGAAUGACCUAUAUUGUGAAACGGAGGGAGUAGCUAGGAAAGAAGAAAAAAUUCCACCAUCACACAUCGACGUCACCUAUAUACAGCUAAGAAGAAGGUUUAGCACCGGUCCGACUGUCGCUAAACGUGACCAACAGACGAAAUAGAAGUAUAGAACUGAGCUAAUCGAAGCAAGCAAUUUAAAAAUUAGAUUCAUUUGAAUUCUUAUAUAUAUACUUUUUUUUAUUAAAAAAGCUUUUAAAACUAAACUAUUUUAAUACAAGUAGUUCAGAAAACAUGCUCACCGUAAACUAAGUAAUUGCAAAAGCAAAAGAUGUACUAAUAAAGCCUACUGAUCAUUUGUUCACAUGUUUGGGCCUCAUCGUUUGCCCUAAAGCUUAUAAGCCAAAGCCAAAAUUUGAAUUUAAAAACUUAAAUUUGAAUUUGAUUCUUUUUCAACAUAGUUUUUUUUUCAACUUUGGCUUUUCAAUCACUAAGAACAUAUAUACAAAAGUUUUACUCACAUAUUAUUUUUUAAUCGCAAAUAAGCCCGUUAUGACUUAUAAUAAGCGAGACUAACCGAUGGGGGCCUUUGUUUAUCUGUCCAUCUCCAUCUAUAAAUAUGUAGAGUUGAUCCAUUCGAAGGUUCUCCUGCACAUGCGUUUCAUUUCGACUUUGAAGCCGUCUUCCAUCCUUCCCCUUAAUCAUGGGUUUUUCUUUGAUUUUCCUAAAAGGGAUAGAUUGAUUGAUGACGUGGCGACGAUUUGGUCCAGGUAGACGCCCGCCAUUCAGCCAGUCAGCCAGCCACGUGAUUAUAAUCUGGACACACGUAUGUGAUGCGGUACGGGAUUACGCUGAACGUGCGGGCCAUACAUAUCAAGAUGGGCUGGAAGUGUACUGGGCUGGUAGUGCGGCAUAAUAUUUUCUGGCCCAGAUCGGAAAUAGCAACGAGUGUGCGGCAUAUAGUAUUAUUUGGGCCGUAACGGCAUUUCAGUAGAAUUUGGCCCAUUAGUCCGUGGGUGGUGGGCCUUGUUGACCAGGAGCAGGGAGGGUCGGGAUCAAAGGCCCAUCAAUCCAUUACGGCCCAUGCCGAGCAAGUUAGUGCUUGUAAAAGGUACUCCCAGAUCAAAAACAAUUAUGAGUUGAUGCAUGCUUGGCACGUAACGACAUACUGAUGAAAUACUACUCCUCUCGUCGCAAAAAUAAAAGCUUACAACCGAAUGAAUCAUUUAAUAGCCUGUCUAGAUUUAUAGUAAUAAAAAAUAUUACAUUCAGUUCUUAUACCUAUAUUGUGAGCGGCAAAAAAUUACCGCAGGGUUACGUGAGCUUGCGGUGCUUGCCAUCGGAGCUAGCUGGAUCAUGCAAAGACUAUGUAUGUGUGGAUCGUGGAUACAGUACCGAUCGUCUGGCUUAUUAGUAAAGCCAAUGCUAUAUCUCAAAAUAAAUAAAUUUAAAAUUUUAAAAUUUGACUUUUUCUUUAGCUUAUUAGACCAUGGGAGCCUACAUGCAUAUAUGUCGUACGUAGCUAAUUAAUGCAACGCACUACGUACAGUCGUCGGCCGAUCGAUAUCAACCAUAUGCAUGCAUAUGGGUUAUCUAACACGUAGAAUUAAUAUCUUAAUUACGGGAUCAAAUCGAUAUCGGAUCGGAUAUUGCAUAUGCGUACUGACGCGGCAUGAAUGUGAAUUAAUAAUGGAUAAAUAUUUCAAAUUACAUGCGGCAACGGCAAGCGAUCGAUCGAUCGAUCUGCUACGUCGAUCUCAUGCGUAUCGAGAUCGAUCGAGAUCCAGCUAGCUAUAGCAAUUGCCGACGCGUCCAAGCUUAAUUAACUUUACCUGAUCGAUGGAUGACGACCUCGCUUAGCAAGCGGCGCGUGAAAUUAAUUUUAACUACGCGCAUAGUAUCUGUGUACGUACGUACGUACAACUAAUACGUAUAUAUAGCUCCUAGCAGCGAGAGCAGCAAAGUCUCCUCCCGCAAAAUUCCAAGUGUUCGAUCCACCGUGCUCCACCUUGGCUAGCUAGCUGCCAUUCCGUCCCAUAAAAAGCAAAUUCUAGCUAUAAAUCUGGACACGCAUAUAUAUAUAUAUAUAUAUAUAUAUAUAUAUAUAUAUAUAUAUAUAUAUAUAUAUAUAUAUAUAUAUAUAGUUAGGAUUAAUUUUUUUUACGGAUGUAUUAAAGAAAAGAAAAGGAUAUAUAAAAGACUAUGUCAAUUGUAAUGUUUCCCAUAUUCCUAUUAAUUAAUAUAUAUAAAUAUUAUAUCGAUAUUCUUGUGGUUUUAAUUUGUGCUAUAAAAUAAAGUGGUCAACUAUAGUUGUUUAUUAGAGCCAUAAUAGCAUAUAACUAUUGUAAGAAUGGAUACAAUUAAUUACUUUUAAUCUUAAAUUUAUGCGAUGAGUUUAAGCUAUAUAAUAUUAGAAAACCCCUGCAAUUUAUCCAUAAACUUAGUCAAAUUUAGAGCAGUUUAACUUUGAUCAAAGUAAAAACAUAUUAUAACCUGAAACAGUGGGAGUAUGCAUAACAUGAAAACAAUUCACUAAACUAGGGAGAUAGCUACAACACGUAACAUGAUAAGCAUGAAACUCGCUUGCCACGGAUAUAUAAUUACUCCAUCUCCUUUAACUUGAUUACAGCCGCAACAAAGGAGCAUUUUAUAACGCCAUGUUUUGCGUCCACUUAAUAUAUAUGUCUCUGGUUAAACACACGGCGGUUUUUUCCCCAAAAUAAGCAUAACGAGAGAAAUAAGGCAAUCUCACUCAAUUUCCUGCACAUUUCUAUGUUGAAUCAUUAGUCGCCAUUGAUUACAUGUCAAGCUCAACAUAUAUUUGAUGUUAUGUUACUCAAACACUACACACCACAGUUACAUGCCAACAAAAUAAUAAAGAAGAUAUAUAGCCACAUAUCUGUGGUGCAAAUUGUAAGGUUGUGUGCAUAUUGCUAUUGCUCGAUGGAUCGCUUUCGUGUUCCUUGUGAUGUGUUGCUUUAUCUUUUCUCCUUUCCAGUGUGUGCCAGAAAGAGGACACCUUUCUCUUCUUGGCUUUUGGAUCUUGUUUCUUGCCUUGCAAGAGCUAGCUUCCCCUAAUAAUCUCUCUCUCUCUCUCUCUCUCUCCAUUGCUAGCUAUAUAGCUACAUUCCUGGGUCGAUCCCUAUAUAAGAGGAGAGGCAUGAACUCAAAUGAAAUUUCCAAUAAGCUCCACAUGUCGUGAGAGCAGAGCACCGGCCGGUUGAUCGAGAUAACACAGUUGGAGAGUUUUUUCUCCUUUUCUUUUUUUCUGUUUAAUUCAUCCGGCGAGUCAGAUGAGGUCUUCGUCGUCACCUUCGUUGGCUAAAUCCAUAUUUAGCCUCGGAACUCGUAAGUAGACACUUGCUAUACAUGUAUAGCAUCUUUGAAUUCAACAGUUUUAUACUGGAAGCUUAUUAUAAAAUUCUGCCAAUGUUUAAACUUUUUUUAAGUAGCAACAUGCAUGCAUGACCUCAUAAUAAAAUCCAUAUUUGUCAGCUCUUGUGUGUUUCGGUUUUGUUCAGUUUGCGCAAAUCGUUUUGAAAGAUCAAACUACCUACAAUGUUCCACUCGCCUUAAUUCAUACUCGUUAACUAAUCCCUACAUUUGCAUCAGAACAAAAGUUAUGGUAGGCAAGCCUGCAGCUAGCUAGAAUCAAAACUUUAAUCAAGAAGCACACACACAAUUAUUCACUUAAAAUAACUAUGGUGGGUAAGCCAAUUAGUCCUGUGUAAUUUAGAUUAUUGAGUAGGUUGUUGCUACGGAUUAUUCACUUGAUUAUAUAUAAAAAGUAUAAAAAUUUUGAGAUACAAACUUAGCAAAUAACUUAAUACAAUUGGUAUGAGCAAUACAACAGAGAUUUUUUUUCUUUUCUUCAGAAAUGUAUUUUCUGAAGCGUAGAGCAAAUAAUCUGUUUCAAUAAUCGGACAAAUAAUCUGAAAACUAAACAGGGUACAUUUAGGCCGGUUAACCGACCUACAAAUGCAUGCUUUUCCUCAAGUUUCAUCUGCUAGCUAAGCUAUAGCCAAUAGCUUGUACACGUUGCACACUAGAGAGUCAAUGGUAGUGUAGCUAAAUUGCACACUUGCAUCACAAGCAACAGCAAGCUAUAGAGAUAGCUGUGCUCCCAAAGAGACUCAUCUCCAUUUCUUGACGCUUUCGCGCUCUCAUGCUUGCUCUUCCGCGUUGUUUGCCGCCUUAAUUUAAUUAAUUUGCUGCUUUAACUAACUACUAAUAACUUACUAACUUGGUCGUCGUCUUCCUCAUCUUCGCGCCAAUGCUGCAGAGGGAGCCAUGAUCGAGAGAAGCAACUCCACCCCUUCCGCCACUCCGGCGAGGCCACCGCUCGCCGUCGACGAGGAGUACAACCAGGCCUUCCGCUCCAAGUCCUUCCUCGACCUAUGGUCUCACGCCCACCACCACCUCACCCACACCUUCUCCUCCUUCAAGCUCUCCACCUCCACCCCCUGCGCCGGCCGCGGCGGUGCCAGGGAGGACGACUUCUUGCACGCCGGCGGUGAUGGCGGCGCGGCGGAUGACUCGGAGCAGUCGUGCUCUUAUACUGUUCUUGACGACUUCGUCCUCGAGCCGAGCCCGGAGUCGCUUGCUCGGGGUGCUCGUCUCCAGCAACGGCGGCGGCGGCGGCCGCGGCGUCACCGCGUGGAGACGCUGCUGAUUGAGUAUUUUGAUGUGACGGAGGAGGCGUGCGAGGCUUGCUCCGCGCUGCUCGCCGCCAUCGGCGCCGCGCGGCGGCAUCACCUCACGCUCCGACGGCUGCUGCUCCGGCUCGACGGGGGAGACGACGACGACGCCAAGGAUGCCCUCGCGCGCCAUGUCCGCCUCGACAACCCGCUCUCCCCGGGCAGCCUCUCGGAGUUCCACGACGUGCACGCCCGGUGCUCUCCGCUGGCGUCGCCCGACGCUGCCGCGAGGGACGGCCACCGCCGGAUCCGGGCGGGGGAUGGCUUGACGAGCCCGUAGUAGGCCGUCGUCGUCCACCCGCCGCUGCCCCGCCGCUCCCUUAUGCCGUCGACAACCACAACCUCCUCCUCACAAGAUCCCACCGGUGCCGUCACUGAUUCAUGGCCGGAGUAGGGAAGGGAGCCCUUGUCCGAGCCGCCUCCAGUGACCGAUGGGAGCGCCGUCGUCGCCCGCCGCUAGCGCAAGAUGUCGCCAUCGCCCGUCGCCGAAGGAAGCAGGAGGAAGCCCGAAACCGCGCCCGCCGCCGCUCGGCGGUGGAGGAGGUGGAGCCGCCGCGCCUCCCGCCCGCCGACGCCGCGCCCGCAGUCGCUCGUCGCCCCGAGCCGCCGCCACCGCUUCUUCUCGCCGCACGAGAAACUGCCGGAUCCGUAAAAUGUGGAGAGGGAGUCAGGGAGAGGAAAGUGGCUGGACGGUUUCUAAUAUAUAUAGCUAUAGCAUGUAGAUUCGAUAGUAAACAAUUUACUAGUAAAUUUGGGAGGGGUAGGGGGCGCCGGUGGUUGAGGUGCACGGGGGUGGGUUGGGAGGGGUGGGGGUAGGUCGGUAGGAUGUGAGUAUAGAUGGCCAUCUGGGCCGCCCGGCACGGCACGGCCCAAGCCCGGCCAUGCCUGGGCCGAGGCUUGUCGGGCCGGCACGGCCCGACCGAUGCACCGGGCCGUGCCGUGCCAGCCCACGGGCGGCAUACUCGGCCCAGGCACGGCCCAAUACUAGUCGGGCCGUGCCGGGCCGGCCCGAAGGCACGAUGGGCUAUUGUGCUGCCUCACAUAAAGAGUUUAUAUUUGGUCCCUCAAUUCCGUGGGCUGUGUUUAAAUGGCUGGAAAUAAGUCUAUUUUUAUCCCUCAACUCUGUGGCUGUGUUUAAAUGGCUGGAAAUAAGUCUAUUUUUGAUCCCUCAGCUCUGUGGGUUGUGUUUAAAUGGCUGGAAAUAAGUCUAUUUUGUAUACCUAUUUUCUUGGGCCAUGCCAUAUACGAUUAUAUAAGUCUAUUUUUUGUCCCUACAUUUUUUUUAUUUGAUCGGGCCGUGCCGGGCCGGCCCACCGUGCCGAGGGUGCAGCCCAGGCAUGGCCCGGCUGUCGGGCCGGGCCGGCACGGGCACGACCCUAGUCGGGCCGGGCCGUGCUUGGGCCGGGCCAAAAUUGCGGGCUUCGUGCCGGGCCGUGGGCCUCGGGCCAUAUGGCCAUCUAUAGAUGUGAGGGGGAGCAUGUAUAUAUAUAUAUAUAUAUAUAUAUAUAUAUAUAUAUAUAUAUAUAUAUAUGUAAAAUUGAUCUGGAAUGUGGCGGUUACAUGGGCCUGAACUGAUGUGAGGAGAAAAUUUGUUCUACUUGCUAGGACAUGAUAUGAUCUGGACAUGAAAACGGAAAACGUGGAGCAAUUUGGGAGGGGGCGAUAUGGAGGAAUCGGACCGGAAAAUCGUAAAAAAAUACGCACAGGGAGGAAAUGAAAUUGGACUGCGCAGCGCAUUAUACUGGGACAACGUACAAAAAUACUUGGCAAAAGCAUCUUAAACAUUUAUGAUAGGUAAAGAUCUACAUAUUUCAAUAAAAAAAAGUCCUACCUAAAAUUUAAAACUAACUCAAAAUUUGAAAACUUUGAACUCUCAACGUGAAAUUUGAACUUUCAACUCGAAUUUUGAAACUUUCAACCUGAUUUUAAAAACUUUCAACUUGAAUUAUGAAAACUUUCAACUGGGAAUUUAAAAACUUUUAACGCGAUUAAAAAAAUUUCUAACUCAAACUUCUAAAACUUUCAACUCGAAUUAUGGAAAAUUUCAACUGAAAAUUCAUGAUCUUUCAACUAUUUUUUAAAACUGUGAACUAUCCUUAAAAAAAAUAAUUAUUGAUGUAUUUUUUUAAAAAAAAAUAUUACUCCAGUACAUAUUACCAUUAGCGCUAAUUAGGUCAUUUGCGGACUAAUCACCCCGGGUGCGGGCAUCCCAAAUAAAAGCCUUCGCUCCACCCGUCUACGUCUGUUUGUUGUAUUCCCCUUCCUUACCCCCAAAAUCGAAAUCCCUAAUUCGACGCCAUGGCCGCGACUGGCGGCGCCGCCGGGGAGAAGACGGCCAGCAGCCUCCUGCUCGGCGUCCGGGGCUACACGUCCACCCUCAAGAACGCCUCCACCGCCAGCUGCAGGUUGAGCGCCGGCCAUCCCAUCGAGGUGACUUUGUGGGAGGCGUCCCCGCCUGCCCUCUCCCACUUCUCCGUCCACUGCCCCGAUCUCCCAUCCUUCAAUGGCAAUCUGCUUGGCGCGCCUAAAGCCAUCGCCGCCGCCGUCGACGACGCCGACGGCCAGCUCCUCCUCCUCCUCCGAGUCCCCAUCGAUCAGCUUGGUGCCCCGCAUGACAACGACUACUUGGUCUACCAUCCGGAUCCCCCGUCUCCGAAACUGGAUCUGCUCCCCAACCCGCCUCCCCCUACCCUCGGUGACCACCAGCUUGCCAUACUCAGCUGCGGCGACGACCGCUACGUCGUGGCCGCCCUCCACGUCUGGAGUGAGUUCACUUCCACGCUGCGCCUGUACAGAUCUUCUUGUUCGUCUGGGAGUUGGACAUCGGAGGAGGUGUCCGUGGAGGAGCCGGUGAGGGACAGGCUGUGCCCGAUCCCGGACUCAGCCAAGAGGCAGCUGUACCACGUCACCACCAAGACCAUCACGCUCGGAGGUGCGAAGGGCACCGUGGGCUGGGUUGAUCUCUGGCGCGGCAUCCUCCUCUGCGACGUGCUCGACGAAAUGUCUCCAAGGAAGCUCCGCGACAUGCCGCUGCCGUGGCCGGCCAAGGGCAAUUGGAGGAUGUACCUCAAUGGAGAUGUGUCCUUUUGUCGGGACAUCGCCAUCAGCCAACACAAGGAUUCCAUCAAGUAUCUGGAGAUGGAGAUCGUUUCACCAAGAACGGUGACCACCACCAUACCCACCUCCACCUCUGCAGAUCCUACUUCAUACCUUGAAUGGGUUCGCCGCAGCAGAGAACCUCAGCCGACACGGCGACGCUCCGUGUUCCACCCUGGUUCGUGGAGAAUCACUACAUGGAGCAUGCCUAUCCCGGUCACUUCAUGGGACGACUGGCGCCGUGACUGCACUGCUGAAUCGCGUGAAGUCCAUCUUGACACCAACCCAAGUCACCAUUACGAGUUGCUUCAUAGCCUCAUGCUCAGCAACAGCGGUGAUGAACACAGGGAGGAGGCUCAAGGUCAAGGGGCAACCUCUUCCUUGUCCCUAGGUCGCCUGCGUUUGUGUUACCCGGCCUUGAGUUGCAUCGAUGAUGAUGUUGUUUACCUCUUGGGCAACGCUGCUGGCAGGGGUGCUAAGACGGGAGGAAUGAUGGUCGCUGUUGACGUCAGGAACAAGGAGCUGCGAGGAGUGGCCAAGCUUGACCCCGAAAAGAACACCCUCUACUCCAUGCGAUGCUACCUUGCAACUGGGAUCUCCAAACGCCUCAACACUACCACAGGUACUUAAUUACCGCUCGUAUUCCAGAACAAAUGCAGCGCCAUGUGCAUAUGGGUAAUAAAAUGCCAUUUAAGGAUCUAGGGCUGAUCAUUAUAGUUCUUUGUUUAUGAUGGUCCGAAUGACCAAACUAGGACUAGAAUGUAGUAACUUUAUUUAGGGUGAUAGGCUUGAUAUGUUGAUACAAGGGCAGAACAGUACCAAGAGUCCUUUUGGCAGAGUAGUACCAAUACUCAUUAUGCAAUAUACUGUUUUGUGUGAGUUUCAGACAAACGUUGUGUUUCUAACUGUACUUGCAAAAACAAAACCUGAACUCUGUUAACAGAAUAAAGACACCUCCACUAAAAUGUCGACGACUAAUGCAUAAAAUUAUUUGCGUUCUUCGUGAAAAUUCAUAGCAGUAAAUGUGUCGUCACUCUUGUUUCCUUGUCAUUAUGCGUGUAAUAUAUUUUGCUAGCAUGCAUUUAAAUAUGAAGUAAUUAAUCAAAGUGCAUUCGUACCAUGUCAAAAGAACAAGAGAAUAGAGCAAGUAAUAAUAAGGUAGUACUUGACCAAAGCAUACUUGAAAAAGUAGUAUAUUGCUUUAGGUUUUGCUUUUCCUGUUGUACUCAAUGUGGACAACAUGAAUGCUCUUCCUCUUGAGUACUAAUUCUUGCUUCAAGGACAUUUUAUGAGAUAAUAGCUAUUUUAUUUGAUGUAGACACAAGAGUUGGACGACCUGAGGAGGAUGCAGAAGCCGCCGAGUAGAAUGUGCGAACCCAGUGACAUAUAUGCAUCAUACUGCAGCCUGCCUGGAUGCAAAUAUUAUCGUAUCAGUGGUUUGUUGGCUUGAAUGGGGGUUAAGGAGUUGUGCUGUUGCUGGGCAUAUAUAGUUUUGUGACAAGAAUCUUAUCCAGGUUGCUUACUUUGGGUUGAUGAUAAAAGUAGGAGUAGACGUGAAUAACAUUAAUAUAUGUUGGCUUAUUUUUUGAGGGGAUGUUGGCUUAUUUAUGUGGCACUAAUUGUCUUUAUGCCUUUGAGUUAAACACAAAACAAUGAUCCAACUCUUUGAACCUGUUUGUUUCAAGUAAUGAGUUGAUGAAUUUUUCACCACUUGGAGUCCUCCCUCAAACUGGAUCUGCUCCCCGCUGCCUCAAACUGUUUUUUUUUUUUGAACGAAUGUGUUUUCUAAGUUCAUUCUCAGAACAAUGCCCGCCAUCAGAUUCAUCGACUAGCAUAGCAAGACAGUAUAACUUUUUACCAAAGAAAACUGAUUAUAUAGUAUAUAUAGAAUACUUGUCUUACACACAGUGACAAUCCAACAAUAUCUAUGCAACAGGAAUAAUAUGUUAGUGUGCAGAUCAUACCCUCUCAACUCUGAACUCUUCUGCAGCAGGGAGUUCAAGAUAUAUUUUGUACAUAGCUGACAGUGCACCAUUCCGGACAGCGGGACAGAGAAGCUCCAAUCAAAAGUCUCCGAUGUUCUGUCUUAUCUUCUAGGUUUUCGGGCUUGGCUCAAUUGGAAAGGCCCAAUUGAUUUUGGGCUUGAGUACAACGCAGCAUAAGGCGCCACCGAUUAGGCCCAAGUACAGGUAUACUCAAUUAAUUACCACUACUACCACUACAGGUAUACUCAAUUAAUUACCGCUCCUUGUUGUCAUGUCUGUUAUUUGCGUGCUGUUCUACGAGAGAUUAAUCUCUUUGGCUUAAAUUUCUGUCUCAAUUCUUAACAUGCAUAACAGAUUUUAAUCGGUCAAUAUAUAAGUUAGGCUAAACUUUGUUGUGUUCCUUUGCUUGCCGGCAUGUAAGUUCCGAAGAAUUUUGUUUAAACUCUACAAUGUUUGGCCAAGAAAAUUUCUCAUAUCUAGCUAAGAAGAACUAAAAGGAAAAGAGCUGCUGCUCUUGUUCGCCAGUAAUCUGCAUCAAUGGAUAGUGUAUACUGAUCAUUCCGGCGUUGACAUGGCGAAAAGUAUUUUGUCAAUAGGAAGGAGGAGAAUCACACGCCAAGUGCAUGCAUGAUUUUUCAAUUCAUUUCAAGGCAAAGUUUCUAGACAAAGCUAGGUUCUCGAUAAGCCGGCCACUUUGAUUUGAUGACAAUUAGGUUAAUUAAGGCAAUCUUCUUGCCUUUCCUUUUCUAUCAAUAGUGGACAAAGGUGAGAGCUGAUAUUUAUUAUAUCCUGUUAGCCAUUCAGAAAGUGCUUUCCAUGACAUUCCAAACGAAAUGAUAUUUUUCUCAUGUUCAGUCGGCCAUGCAUCUUCAGUUUAACUAAACAAGACAAAAAAAAAAAAAACUUAUAUCCAACAUAAGAUAUAUAUGCCCUAUGAGCAUAAACGCACUCAGUGAUAAAAUAUACUAGUAAGAGGUAAAGCUAAGGUGAAUGCUGACAAGAGACAAGCCCAUCUGUCCCUCAAAGAUAACAAAUACUACUACUGAUUGAAACAAAAUUAAAGCAUGAUAGCCACUUCUGAAUUUCUGAAUGGCUGAAGGGGAAAAAAAUUGAACAGGAUACUGCAUGCUGAUCGAGUUGAACAAGUAAGAAAAGGUGUUCAUCUUUGCAGAGACAAGAUCUAACACAUUUCUAACUGCAGAGGUAGUUCAUAGCAUCCAUCGAUCACCUACACACAAUAUCCUCUCUCAUGCCUGACCCCUGCACAAACGCACACCGGAUUGCAAAUACACAUAAUUUAGAUCUUUCUAAUGAUUUUGUAUCGUCAGAUAAUCUUGCUUGUUUUGGUCGACCUUCAGAAUUGAGUUGAUGAAGUUCGUCGCAGUGAGCUCUUUGUAGGCAUCACCAGUGCAGCAAAUAGAAGAUGAAUUACAAGACUUACCUGUGAUGAAUUACAAGACUUACCAGGCAUCACCUGUCAAAUAAUCCAUUGAUGAAGUUAGUUUAGAAACUCAAGAGAGUACCGUUAUAAAUGCAGACUUAACAUCAAGGCUAGCACAAAUAGAAGAUGAAUUACAAGACUUACCUGUGAGAAUGAAGAUAAGUUGAAAAGUUGAAGGAUAUUACUGUUAUUGUCAAGGACAUGGGAGGACCAGAGAGCUUACCCAGUCAUUACAAUUUAGAGAUGAACCACAGAUUUGCAUAUGGAAAAUGAUAUAAAUGAUAUAAGAGGUUUGCAAGAUGAUCUGAGAUCUAGCAAUGAGAAUUUGCUAAGAGAAGAAAGACUGAUAUAAGAGCUUUAGUCUAUCCUUGCAAGCCUGACUUCGAAACUUAGUCAAAAGAGUAUGGCCGUGCUUUUCAAUUUCUUAUGUAGUCUUAGCUGCCUCCAAUUUGUUCACUUGUUGGAUAGAUUAGGUAACAUAAAUUUGAUUGAUUUUCCUGAUGAUCAUAGAUUUGUUCACCUCCUCCGCCAUCUUGUGCCUGGCGCCGCCUCCGUCUUCGGUUUGCAAACGUGAACACUGGCAUCACCUACAUGAAAAAUCAAAUGGUUAAUGGUGUGCAACACUGUCAACUUUAAGGUGAAUUUGUGUCAACAAAAUUUCAGUCAAGCUGCACAAAAGAUUCAAAAGUCCCUGAAAUAAAUUGAGAUAACAAACAAUCCUCCAUGCAUAACAGUAUUGAGUACUGGCCCCAUUCGAGUUUAAGAUAAAAGAUUAAGUUCGGACAGGUAAAACGAGAAAAUCAUUAACAUCUCACUAAUUAAGGUUUAAUUAUUUUAAAAUUGAAAAAUAGAUUUAUCUUAUAAUUAAAGCUUCUAUAUAAAUUUUUUUCGUUCGAAAUAUACAGUUCAACAGUUUAAAAAAACGAAUUUAUAAAAAUCUAGGUAAAAUCUGUAUCUUAAUCAGAAAAAGAAAAAUAGAGGCUGAAGAAGCCUUGAGAGAGCAGUAGAGUAUGGCACUGGGAUGAUGCCAAACUGCUUUCAGAACCGAUUCACUGCUGCUGUUGGCAUCUGCAGAUUUGAUGAGUUCAGCUCCAAAAUGAAAUCUGCAUAAGCAAAGCAUCAUGAGUUCUGAAAAGCGAACUGUUUUUUUUUAAAAAAUCUUACAGAUAUGAACUGUAUUACAAGCAGCUGCGAAGCCACAAACCUAUAGCUCUGGCAAAUCCAUCUGGGCAGCACCGAGUCGCCGGCGCGUGCUGCGUGGCGGCGGCAACGCCGGGAGGGACGAGGCGGGAGGAUGAGAGCACCACGGCAAUCCUCUGCACCGAUGAGAUGAUGCUGCACAUGUACUGCUGCGCCAUGGCGGGCACGCUGCCCUGCAGGUGGCUCUCGAACGCGAACUGGAACGCGAUCGUCAUCACCGCCUUGGAGCUCGCCGCUGCUAUUGAUGCCGCUGAUCCUGCUCCAUGGCGUCGCUGCUUCGAGCAUGGAAGCGAGAUCUAGCAUGCAGUUCGAGCUAGAUGUGUCCUAACAUUUGCAAGGAAAGAAAAUCCAGAAGAAUUAUGUUUUUUAUAGCAUAAAAAUUUUAGAAAAUUUGAUUCGAAAUGCUAGUGUAUUAUCUAAUUGUGUGAGAUUUACUUACAGAGGAGAAUCGAUAGGGAUGAUGUAGAAACCGGAAGGCAGCAGCGGAGAAUCAUCACUGAACGAUGCAUCGAUGGGUGCAAAGAUUAGCUCUGAACAUGUUCCUGCACUGCUCUCCUCUACUCCAUUGUACAUCUGCCAUUGCAAUCAGGCCAAGAACACAAGUUUUACAGAGGAAAAAAGAAAAUGAUUCUUCAACUGGUGAUAAGUUUCAUGAAUCAAGAAGUCACCUGCAAGAGGAACAGAUCACGGUGCACCAGUGUAUCUUGGUAGUUUCUGGUGUUUCCUAGCUUGAUAACUUCCAGGAACUGAAACAGUAGAUGGUUGCACCAAAACAUCGAGCAGGAAAACAGAAUUGGACAGGACCUUUUUUGUAACCGACAGACAGUAGAAGAUGGACUUACCUCUGCAGGUUCAAAAGUGUGUGCUAAAGGAAGUAUGACCUGACCACUGAAUCCUCCAAGACGAGACAUGGGUAAAUUGCAGAAGUUUGGUUUCAUCGUCAGCCCAUUGUGACUGGUGUUCGCGCAAAAAUUGCAGUAGUGAUGGAGGAGAGACAUCCUAGCAAACAGCAGAAGAAAUAUUGUAUGAAAAAUAUUGGCAAUUACAAAACAAACAAAAAGAAAGUACUAAUUCUAGUUUCAUAGUGAAGCUAACCUGCAACAGCAUGGAUGCCUUGGCACAAAGAACACCGGUACUGACAAUAGUGAGUCCACUGCUGAAUGUUGCAUUGCAACCGGUCACUUUGGAUGAAUUGACAGAGAUGCAAACAUCGUCGAUGCCAUCGCUCUCGAUCACGGACCAUCCAUCAUCCGCAAGCCCAUUGAGAACUUCAUUGAAGCCUCUGAAAAGAGAGCAUGCAAAAUUAUUUUUCACACUUUUGAACUGAAGAUUCAUGGCAAGAACCAAGAAGCAUCUGCUGUUCAGGAGUCCUACGUGGUGAGCUUUUUGGCUCAGAGCAUGCAAAGCCGCAAGCUUCCUUCCCCAUCCUGUGAUCACAGAACGGGUAUCUUUGUAGGCAACCUGCCUCAGGCAGCGUAAAGACUGAAUUUUGCAUGACUGAAUUAGGCAAUAAUUUUUACAAAUCAACAAGAACAUCAAGAACAGGGUACUAUAAUUACUGUACCGCCAUCGAUAUCUUCUGCGCAACCAAGGCAGAAGAUUCAUACAGAGGUCGCACAACUUCAGGCACGCUCCAAGGCUGUGAACACAAAAAAAUUGGCUGAAAUUUCUUUCUGCUAGAUGAAUGAACUAUUUGGAUAAGAAAUUGUAAUGGUUAUUAGUUAUUACCUCCAGGUCCAUAUGAUCAACGAUGUGUAUCACGCUGCCUCCACCAUCGCUAGGUCGGAUCAAGAACCCACUGGGAAGCAUCUCAUCUCUGAUAAAAGGCUGGACAAGUGGCAUGCUUGGGCCUCCUUGCUUGCUACUGAGUGAUCUCUCACACACCUUCAGAAUUCAGAACAAGAACAUUCAGGCAAGCAGACAAGACAUCAUAGUGACACACAAAUACUUUGGUAUUAAUUGCACAUCAGCACAUGGAUAAUUUGUUUUGCGCUCCAUGAUCAGACAACUAACCACUAAGCUUCCAUCACCGAGAAUGGAGGUGUACCGCAGCAGCCAGAAGUCGUGAGCCGGCGCCAGCGUCGUCGGAGCAUAGAGUUGAAGACUGAAUACAGAUUUCAGCUUCGGAAUUUCAGGUUGAGCUAAGAAUUUGCCACAAAAAUUUUCAGGCUUGUCUGUUCUUGCCUGCAUGUAGAGCAGCUUGACCUUCCAUUUAGCACAACACUAAUGAGUUAAAUCAGAACAUGAACAACCAGACAACUACCCUACCCCUGCAUCAGAAACAUGAAGCUGCACAGAUAAGUUUUUAUCUCAGUCGUCAUAAAGCAGUGAAGAAAAUCAAGCAAAAAAUGUAAUUGCACCAACGAGUGAGAUGGACAGAUUGUUGCACCUCAUUAAAAAUAAAAAGCCCCAAACCUCCUCUAAGUCAAUGAAAAUUAUAGGGAAUGCAAUAAGCCACGAAAUAAUUGCAUGCUAGAAAAAAGUGGCUUGAAUAAACUAAUCUGAGAGCUCCAGUCCACGGUUGGUUUCUCUUAAACAUUGAAUUAUAUGAAGGCCUCUAUUCAAUGGGUUUAUUAGUAUCAACUUGCAUUUAACAGGAACAAUGGCCACUACAACUGAAACAAUGGUACAAUACGAUCAUCAAAGAUUCAAAGUUGUCAAGCUCUGUGACCAAUAGAUACUUACCUUUUAAUUGAGUUGCCAAUGCCCCAACGUUAUAGCCUGAUCCUUACCUUUCGGCUUCUUGCUAUUACCACCCUACUACAAUGCUAUUUCUAUCACCUGAAACAGUAAGAAUCAUGGAAAAAAGAUUCUCGGUUAAUGAUGGCAAGGAUUGAGACUCUGACCGUCCAAAAGAAAUAGUUCAUGCAGCAAUAAGAAAUUAAAAAUCGGCAUCAAGUACACGAGAUAGCCAAAUAAUGGAUCAGGGAAAUGACAUUUAUUUGAUCCCUGCAAAAUUUGCACAUGAACAUACUACUUGCCUAUAGAUGAUGGUGGUGUGGCCGUGUGGGCAAUAUUGGGUGCAUAUGAAAAUGCUGCAAGAAAAAAAAAGGGUGCCCUUUAUACCGAUCAAGAAAAAGAAGUGCAUUUUAGCUUGAUCAAGAACUAACCCAAAAGCAGGCUACUCGUCAACACUGUUUCACUCCCUCUCAGUGAUAUGUGUUCAUGUCUAUUCGGCCAGCAAGCACAUUGCGUUCGUCAAUACAUGCUGUCACUGCCCUUUUGAUCGCCCGCAGAAGAGCCACCCCAGCAUGCACGCAGACAACAAGACAACAACAAGCUUUGAGUUGAAGGGAAAUCCAGAUUAUAUAUUUGAUAUUAGUUAAUUCAGUGUCUCAAAAAAUAUCAUCAACUCCAAUUUGAUGACCAAAAAUCCUCUGCAAAACUGAUAAUUUUACAACCUUGAUGCUACAGAUCAAAUAACAGGACUGAAUGUGCCCUAGCUCCAAAUAUCACAAUAUAGGUGGUAUGUGUUCCUAUCGGGCUAACCUCACCUACUUCAGGGAAGAAAUUGGUCAGCAGCCAUACUUGGAUAAUGGCAGCAUGACCGUCGCCGUGGCCUCGCACCGCCAGUGGCCGGCGCACGCGCAACACACCAGGUCCUUCCGCUUUGGUCACCACUUGCCACUCUUUGCCUCCAUUAAUGACACCACCUCAGCGACUAGCCACCAUAGGUUUGGCCCCAACAAUCACUUGAAAUGAAAGUUGAGAUUACAAAUACGGCAAGCAGGAAAGCCGGUGAAAUCAAACUGCAGCAUCAUGCCAUUCUCCUCUCAAAUAUGGCCGUAAAGCAACACAAGAAGGGAUGUUUUUACCUCUCAAAUCUGUUUGCCGACACCGCCGCUGUGGUGGAGGAGGAGGCCACCAUGUAACACAGAACAUGUAACACAAGAAGGAUGGCAGUGUUUUAUCAGACUUGAUUUGUACCUGAAGGGCGGCAUGUUGGUGGGGAAUGCGUAGAUGCAGAGAACCAUCUCCAUCGGCCGGCAUGCUUGGUCCGCCACAAACCGCACCGGAUCUCAUCGCUGUGUUCUUGUAUCCGCCCCUGCCGAGGUCAGAGCACAAUCCACACCGCUGCUGAUUUACUCCAAUCCAUUCUUUCUAUGAAAAGAAGAAAAUCGAAAUAUCAAAAAAGGAACACAAAACUGAGUUCAACUUCAACCGCACAUCAUUAUGCACGCUGCAAACCUUACCUCCGUGAGACACGCACCAACAGCGGGAAACACGACGAUGAUACCAGCAAUGCAGCACCAAAGGAUGGGGAGAAGCUGUGCCGCCAGUCGAUCUGCGGCGCCCUCGCUUGAUCCGCCGUUGGUCCCAUUCGCACGAAAGGGGAAGAAAUGAAGACAUCAACCGAAGAGGCAGGGAGGGGAGAAGACAGAGCGACGCGACGAGGCGAGGACGAAGAAAGUAUUGGGGUGGAGGCGCUCGAGGAUGAGGAGGCCAGCGCGAGCUCGCAUCCGGCGCUGCACCCGUCCCCCGCCGCCUACGCCGCGAACGCCGCGGCCGUGAGGACAAGGAUGAGGAGGAAGGUGGAAGCUUCCACGGCGGGAGGUCGCUCGUGACGAAACCCUAGCGACGGGGCGGGGACGGGGAUGGGGGCGGCGACGCGAGGCGUGGACGGGGGCAGUGGUGGCCGGCAACGGAGGCGGUGAAGGGCGGAGAAUGGACCGGCGGCGGAGGAGGAGGAUGGCUGAGGGAGAGGGAGGAGGGGCGGCGCGCGGGGCGGCGGCGGCGGCGGCGACGCGAGGCGGGAGAAGGAGAGGGAGAGGGCGAGACGGGGGACGGGAGGGACGAGGAGACGAGCAGGCAGCGGCGGGCAGGUUGGGGGCUUGGGGCUGGGCGCACGGCGUUUUUGCGAAAAAGACCCUCGUCUUUCAAGUUUUACAGCGCGACCCUAACUCGCCACAUCUCCCUUCCUCCUAUGCAAUAACUGUAUUCACCAGAGGCCUAAACGUAAAUAGACAACUCGGUGGGACUGUUCAUGGAGGACGGCGGCCGAAUUACGCGCGAAGCGGAGGGCCUUUUCACAAAAAUGCCACCCCGCGCGCUGUAUAUACUGUAGCAAAAUCCUUACGUGGCACCCCUCCUCGCUCGCCCCAUGUGCGCCGCUUUAUAUAUUCCGAUUCCGAUUCCGUUUACAGGUGGAAUUAAUCACCUGUGGUGUGAACACAUAGGGAAGCAGGGGAGGGAGCUCCUGCUCCUGCAUGACGUCAUCCGGCAGCGGUAGCGCGGUCCUCAGCCACGCCCUUUGCUGCACGGCCAGUGGCCUCCGUCCAAGAUCCCCUCGGUGCCGCGGCUUGGGGAGAGAGGCGGCUGGCGAAUCAAAAGGCAGGCAAAGACGGACGUAGCGAUGCACGUGAUUUCACCCUCCCCAUCCCCAAGCACGGCAACCGAAUUCAUCGCCACAUCCAGCGACGAGGUGAAUCUGUGCCACUGCCGCCGAGCUUGAGGGGAGAGACGCACAGAACAGCGCGCCGGCGCGUGGGAGGGUCGGCCUCGGGCGCCGGAGGGGCGGAGGUGGAGCUGGAGCUGGAGCGUGAGGAGGAGGAAGAGGCGGCGACAUCGGCGUAGGUCGACCUCCGACGAAUGAGGCGGAGGAAGCGGGGGCGGGGCUGCCGGCGGAGAGAAGGGCAUAGCAGGGUAUAACUUUUUUAAAAAGACCCCUAAAACCUCACAUAUUACAAAGAGGUCCACCGCAGCUAUUCCACACCGUUCAUCAUCGAUCCGACAGCUGAGGGAGAGGACUAACGCUGGAAUCGUAUUGUGCCACGUGGAGGGGUUGUUUGCACGCGAAUCCGCAGAGAUUUCGAUAUUAGAGAUUACGCCAAUGCAUCAGGUACAACAUUUAUAUCAUCCACGUAUACGUGGAAUAACUGUAAAAAAACAUUUGUGAUUAUUAUUUUUUAAUACUAAACUGCUUAAAAAUCGAUCAGUUAAAUUUAUCCACCGUAGUACAAUCGUUACGCUAACGCGUCAGGAACAUCGCUCAUAUCAUACACAUGUAAAGUGGAAUAUUUAAAAAAAAACUUUGUGAUUAUUAUUGAAAUACUAGACUGUUUAAAAAAUUGUUCAGUUAAAUUUUAUCCAUCGUGACAUCACUCUGUGCGCAAAUAUAGAGCAUAUUAUUUAUCUAAAAACAAACAAUUUUUUUGAGCAGAUUAGUUCUCUAAACCAAACAAUACUUUUUGAUCGCUAUACACACUCCGUAAACACCCGGUGCAACGCACGGUCACUUUUGCUAGUCUAUAUAUAUAUAUAUAUAUAUAUAUAUAUAUAUAUAUAUAUAUAUAUAUAUAUAUACAUAUGUAUGUAUGUAUGUAUGUAUGUAUGUAUGUAUGUAUGUAAAAUUGGUCUGGAAUGUGGCGGUUACAUGGGCCUGAACUGAUGUGAGGAGAAAAUUUUUUCUACUUGCUAGGACAUGAUGUGAUCUGGACAGGAAAACGGAAAACGUGGAGCAAUUUGGGAGGGGGCGAUAUGGAGGAAUCGGACCGGAAAAUCGUAAAAAAAUACGCACAGGGAGGAAAUUGGACUGCGCAGCGCAUUAUACUGGGACAACGUACAAAAAUACUUGGCAAAAGCAUCUUAAACAUUUAUGAUAGGUAAAGAUCUACUGUCACGCCCGGAAUUUCUAUCCAAAAUUCCAAACGCUUACAUGUGUGUGAACCCUCGUCCAGGAAUCAGCCGAGUCACACAAUAACAAAUUGAUAAUAGAGUACAAUUAUUACUCUAAUUAAUAAGCGAAUAAAAUGUCAUUACAGAGGUAGAUAGUUCCUCUCAAUCAAUAAAAAUCUAAGCAGCGGAAAAAUAAGAUAAACGGCGCAGACGACUCCACUCCACAGGCAGCUUGACCAGGGCUACACCUAAUCCUCCACAUCAUCAGCUUCACUGUAGAACUCUUCCUCUGAUGAAUGAUUGCAAGGUGAGUAUAUGACAUACUCAGCAAGUCACGCAGCAAAUAUGCAAGUGCACAGGAUAACAAAGGGUGGCAUAGUAGGGUUUCAUUUGCAUAAACAGCAUUUAAUAAACAUUUCAGAAUUUAUAAAACAGUUAAGUAAUAAUUAAACAAUAUUAAUCCAACGCUCUACAACAUACCCUGUUGUAAAGGCCCAACAAUUCUGAACAACCAUACCCGGCUGUACAGAUCCAUCUCCAAACCAGGAGCUAAACAAAUUAUUACCAGUUAUAGCAUCUUUUAUUAUGGUGAGAAGUGUGAGACUAAUCACGAAAGACAUUGUUAGACCCGCCCAUAACCGCGGGCACGGCUAUUCGAAUAGUUUUACUCUGAUCAGAGGUGUACCACUGUACCCACAAGACACAGCCCCACAUCAUGUCACCAUGUGCCUCAAUACCACCACGGUACCUCGGAAAGGAGCUGUGACAAUACCCCUCGCACAACACAAUCCACUACAGCGCACCUUUCCUGGAUCAUAAUCACCCCCUUAUAAACAAGGCAUGGACUCCCCAGCGACCCCCGUGGGCUUAUCUCCGCCACUUCUCAGUCUGGUGCCCCGCAAUGAACCAUGCUAUACAAAAGGUAAAGCCGUUGCCCACGCUGGCUUGUGGUUGGCACGGUUAAUGUUUCACAACCGAAACUCGUGAACCGGUCCUUAAUUGUCAUGAGCACGACUCUCAAAACCAUGUGCUCACAACCCACCAUUAUCAAGUUUUAGUUGGCAAGUAAUUAAUUAACCAAUCACGUUUGACCAUCGUGAACUAACAAUAAGCCAUCAUUAAAUAAUAGUGAGUCAUAAGUUAUCCCAAUAGUGUGCUAAUGUUUCUAAGCAUGGCUAAGCAAUCACAUCUAAUAUCUAGCUGAACCAAUAUAUAUAGCUCAACUAGUCAAGUUAAAAUAACCCAAGGUAUCAAGGAAUAAAGUAAUCAAGAUCAAAAAGGGCUAUAACAAACAAUAGGUUAAUUCCACCCAAUGACAUUCGAAAAUAAAUGCAAUAUUUGAAUAGAAACAAUAGCUUUAAACGGGAUCAACAUGCUCAAAGGGUUGUUUGGGAUCUGUGUGACUUGCCUUGCUGGCCUUGGAACUCUUCAAAUUCUUCUCCUGCGAAAACGGGCUCUCCAGAAACGUCGGAAUCUAAACAGGAAAGAGCAAAAUCACCAAAACAGCACAUAAACAAGCAUGAACAGUACAUGUGGAUAUUUUUAACAUGUAGAUCUCAAUUUUAGAAAAAUUUAGAGACUUGAACCAACUAAAUCCGAGCUAAGAUGAAUUAGUUAUGAAUUUUUAAAGAUUAAAUCGGAUUAAAACACUUAUAUGGAUUUUAAUUGAAUUAUGACGCAAUAAUGAAUUAUUUUUGAAAAGGAAAAAGGAAUUAUUGCGUCAGCGGCUAGGGUUUGCGGUGGACCGGGCGCACGGCAGCGGUUCACGAGAACGAACGGCCGAGAUCGAUCCAUCCAAAACGGACGGCCGAGAUUGACCGAUCCACGGCCGGCUCACGGCGGACGGUCCCGAUGACGUCGGCGAUGACGUCACCACCGGCGGCGGCUCGGGCUUGCAACCUCGCCGGCGAACGACGGCGCGGCGACGCGAACGGAGGGCACCAGCACGAUGCGGGCAUCGCGGCGAACUCACCGAUGACCAAAACGUCGGCGGAAGAGCAACGGACGGCGACGGCGAAGAGGUUGAAGCGGCGGAGAAGAUCGGGUCGACGGCGGCGACGGUGUUCCGGCGAUCUUCAGCGACGGCGAAGGGGCGGACGAGGACGGCGACGUGACGGCGACCACGAUGGUGACCUCCCCGAGCGACGGCGACGGCUGGAGCGACGGCGAAGCACGGCUGGAGCGGCGGCGACGACGGCGGCGCUAGGGCGCUUCCGACGGCGAGAGACGAAGGCGAGGGUGGCGACGGGUAGAGGAGACACCGGGGAUCCUUUUAAAGGGGUUGGAGGGCGGCGGCGAAGGCCCACGGCGACCGGCGACGAGAAGGAAAGAUCGGGGCUCGGAGAGAGAGACCGAUCCGAAUCGACCUCGAAUCAAACACUUUCCAAGCGAAAUUAGCCGACGAUUCCAUAAGAGAAAAGGUAGAGGAGAUCCCGAAGAUUGUUUCCCCUCAAUUGAUUUCACCGGAGAAGGAAAGGAGCGGCCGGAUUUGGAAGGAGACGGCGGCGGCGCGGCGCUAGGGUUCGGGCGGCGGCCGACGCGAGGAAGACGACGACUCCGACAGGCGGGACCCACCUGUCAGCGACCGAACGCGCGCGUGAGGGACGGCUGCUGCUGGACUGGGCCGACUUGGGCCGGGGAGAGAGAGAGGGGGUUUUGGGCCAACUUUCGGCCCAAAGCCAAAAGAGACUUUUAAAAAACCUUUUUCAAUUUAAAUUAUUCAUGAAAUGCAAUUCCAUUUAUUAAAAAUACUUCCUUAGCUCAAAUAAAUCCCAGAAAAAAUCUAGGAAUUAUAGAAUUAAGCAAAAUAUUUAAUGAAAUUUUAUCUGGCCCCAUUUUAUAUUGGAAUUUAUUAAUUAAAAUUAGAUCUUCUCUUCUAGGCUUUUAAAAAAUAAAUUCUAAUAAUUCCAAUUAAACAACAAUUUAUAUAUUUUGGAUUUUUAGGGUGUGACAUCUACAUAUUUCAAUAAAAAAAAGUCCUACCUAAAAUUUAAAACUAACUCAAAAUUUGAAAACUUUGAACUCUCAACAUGAAAUUUGAACUUUCAACUCGAAUUUUGAAACUUUUAACCUGAUUUUAAAAACUUUCAACUUGAAUUAUGAAAACUUUCAACUGGUAAUUUAAAAACUUUUAACGCGAUUAAAAAAAUUUCUAACUCAAACUUCUAAAACUUUCAACUCGAAUUAUGGAAAAUUUCAACUGAAAAUUCAUGAUCUUUCAACUAUUUUUUAAAACUGUGAACUAUCCUAAAAAAAUAAUUAUUGAUGUAUUUUUUUAAAAAAAAUAUUACUCCAGUACAUAUUACCAUUAGCGCUAAUUAGGUCAUUUGCGGACUAAUCACCCCGGGUGCGGGCAUCCCAAAUAAAAGCCUUCGCUCCACCCGUCAACGUCUGUUUGUUGUAUUCCCCUUCCUUACCCCCAAAAUCGAAAUCCCUAAUUCGACGCCAUGGCCGCGACUGGCGGCGCCGCCGGGGAGAAGACGGCCAGCAGCCUCCUGCUCGGCGUCCGGGGCUACACGUCCACCCUCAAGAACGCCUCCACCGCCAGCUGCAGGUUGAGCGCCGGCCAUCCCAUCGAGGUGACUUUGUGGGAGGCGUCCCCGCCUGCCCUCUCCCACUUCUCCGUCCACUGCCCCGAUCUCCCAUCCUUCAAUGGCAAUCUGCUUGGCGCGCCUAAAGCCAUCGCCGCCGCCGUCGACGACGCCGACGGCCAGCUCCUCCUCCUCCUCCGAGUCCCCAUCGAUCAGCUUGGUGCCCCGCAUGACAACGACUACUUGGUCUACCAUCCGGAUCCCCCGUCUCCGAAACUGGAUCUGCUCCCCAACCCGCCUCCCCCUACCCUCGGUGACCACCAGCUCGCCAUACUCAGCUGCGGCGACGACCGCUACGUCGUGGCCGCCCUCCACGUCUGGAGUGAGUUCACUUCCACGCUGCGCCUGUACAGAUCUUCUUGUUCGUCUGGGAGUUGGACAUCGGAGGAGGUGUCCGUGGAGGAGCCGGUGAGGGACAGGCUGUGCCCGAUCCCGGACUCAGCCAAGAGGCAGCUGUACCACGUCACCACCAAGACCAUCACGCUCGGAGGUGCGAAGGGCACCGUGGGCUGGGUUGAUCUCUGGCGCGGCAUCCUCCUCUGCGACGUGCUCGACGAAAUGUCUCCAAGGAAGCUCCGCGACAUGCCGCUGCCGUGGCCGGCCAAGGGCAAUUGGAGGAUGUACCUCAAUGGAGAUGUGUCCUUUUGUCGGGACAUCGCCAUCAGCCAACACAAGGAUUCCAUCAAGUAUCUGGAGAUGGAGAUCGUUUCACCAAGAACGGUGACCACCACCAUACCCACCUCCACCUCUGCAGAUCCUACUUCAUACCUUGAAUGGGUUCGCCGCAGCAGAGAACCUCAGCCGACACGGCGACGCUCCGUGUUCCACCCUGGUUCGUGGAGAAUCACUACAUGGAGCAUGCCUAUCCCGGUCACUUCAUGGGACGACUGGCGCCGUGACUGCACUGCUGAAUCGCGUGAAGUCCAUCUUGACACCAACCCAAGUCACCAUUACGAGUUGCUUCAUAGCCUCAUGCUCAGCAACAGCGGUGAUGAACACAGGGAGGAGGCUCAAGGUCAAGGGGCAACCUCUUCCUUGUCCCUAGGUCGCCUGCGUUUGUGUUACCCGGCCUUGAGUUGCAUCGAUGAUGAUGUUGUUUACCUCUUGGGCAACGCUGCUGGCA
rnacentral:lncRNA from 1 species